rnacentral:lncRNA from 1 species
UUACGAACCAAGAAAGGAUUAAACUAAUUGGAGAAGGGAUACUAGUUUUGGCAAAGAAAAAAUAUUCAAAUUAAAAGACACGGCUAUUUCCAAAAGAAGUUAAAAGACAAAAUCUUUUAACUCAACCAACUUAUGAAAUUCAAAUUUUGUUUUAAUUUCUUCGUUCUAUAUCAUUUCAAGAGCAACGAUAUAAUUUCUUCAUUCAUACUCCAACAUAUUUAACUUCAUCAUUAUUCAAUAUAUGCUAGUGCACAUUACAUAAUUAAGACAGCAAACAUUAUACAACAUUACACUCACAAACCACUACUAAAUUUACAUAUUUAUUGGCAUCAUAUUCAUCCACGAAGUUGUAUAUAUAACGCGUAAAUGCUACACUUUGUCGAGCUAGAUUCAGCAUGGAGGCUUAAUUUAAGGUUGUGCAUCCCUCAUUCCACCAGCAUUUUUGCUGCCUCCUCCACCUCCGGAAGAACCUCCUUUUGUAUAGCCUGCAGGAUAACCUCCACCUCCAGGAUAGCCUCCUGGAUAGCCUCCAGGAUAGCCUCCUGGAUAUCCUCCAGGAUAGCCUCCUGGAUAGCCUCCUGGAUAGCCAGGCCACCAACCUCCAGGUCCUGGCCAAUACUCUUAUUAACAAACACAUUAACACAAUUCAUGUUAGCCAUUAAUACAUGUAUACUAUAUUAAUUUAUGCUCAUCAUAAAACAAAGUUAUAAAAUACAGAACUUACGAUGAUCUGCUGUCGCUUUUGAUGUAAUCAGAAGAACUACAGCCAAGAAAAUGCAAAAAGUAAUUGUCUUGGAGCCCAUUUUUCUCUCCAAGAAUUUUCUUAUACUUUUUCUUAAUGAGUAUUUUGGUGUGUCAAGCCUCUAUUUAUAGCUAAAAUCUGGACAGAAAAGAGAGAGAGAGAGAGAGAGAGAGAGAGAGAGAGAGAGAGAGAGAGAGAGAGAGAAAUUUGCUAUUUGAGGUAAGUAGAGUAUGUCUUGACUUGGUCUACCUUAUCCUCAACCUGUCGGGGUUUACUUGUUUUCAUUAGGGGGAAAUAGAGAUGAUCAUGUAGUGCCGAAUUUUGCCAACCGUCGAAAUUUAAUAUCAUAAAUAAGUUAAUGUAACAUGAUGAAGUGCCUAAUUUAUUGUCAAUAUAUCCUAUAACUUAGUCGAGAAUAGUCUGCAUAAAAAGGCCUCUUCUAUGUGAUCUAAUACCAUAUUUUUCUAUUUUCUUUUAGUUUAUUUCAGAAAAUUGGCGCAGAUCGUUGUGCUGCGGAUUAUUUGCACUGCAACUUCAUAGGUUAGAGGCCAUUUGCGUCAAUUAUCGGUUUGUUUCUAGUGACCCCAGAAAUCAGGUCGUCUGCGGUCGCGUUAGGGUAGGCACAGUAAAUAGAUUGUCAUUUAGCAGAUGAUAUCCAUUCAAAUGGACAAAAGGUCAGAUGGGUCCGAAUUCAGUAACUGUUGUUUAAAGCUAUUCAUAUUAAAUAAAAUAAUUUUUUUUUUUUUUAGUAAUAUUAUUUGUAAUCACUCACUGUCGUAAUCAUCCUACGUGACAUACAUGUGGUGGUUACUAAUUUGAUACAUUAAUGUGAUAUUGUUUUAUGUAUCAAAUCACAAACCAAUACAUAUUUACCAUGUACAGCGACUGCGAUAAUAAACAGCAACUACAAAUAGCAUUAUUCCUUUUUUUUCCCAUUUCACAAUCAAACUUGAGUGAGAUAUUUCUAGCACAAUUCUCACGGUUUGAAGGUCCACUCUGUUGAUAGAGAGUCAUGCUUGAUUUUGAACCAGUUGCCAGUUAAUCUUAUCAACAAUUAUAUGGUUCAUAUACCAUGCAAUUUACUCAUUUCAUCCAAAAUAGAAUAUCAAAAUAAAAUCGAUUUCCCAAAGAUCGACAACGUCUAAGCGUCCAAAGCUCGACCAAAAGAAAAUGAUAGGGAUUAAAUUGAUCGAAAUUAGAAGUUGUAAAAACUAAUGGGACUAAAUUAAAUUUAUUUGGAAGAUAAUGGUUUAAAUAAAUUAUUAAGGGUUGGAAUUAAUAAUCCAUGAUUUAACUCAAAAUAGGUUCAAGGGCCAAAAACUUCGAAAUUAGAAUUUUUGGACAACUUCAUUCAUGAUCGAACAGUCAGCUUGAAGACACGAUUACGACUUGUAAAUUGAGAGUUAACUCUGAAUGUUAGCUCAUUUUUAAAAUUCAUUACGAGACCAGCGAUUUAAUAUCAAUAUUGAAUAUUUUUCAUCUCACCAAAUAGCGACAAAACUAAUGCCGAAGUUGAACUCGAAAUCUGGAAUUGCUGAAUCUUUUUGUGUUCAACAUUUUAUGCACACCGGAAAAACAAGAAAGUUUAGAUGAAAGUUGAAAUUACAAAUAUUUCAAAUUUCACCUUUUCUUUUUCAAAAAGCCGAAAAAUCUAAGACAGUUCAAAAAUUCUAUCUUCUUCAUGAUUACAAGAAGGGAAAUUUUGAAAGAACAUGAACUAAGAUUCAUUAAACAAAAAUGAAACCUUUUUGGAAAGAAACGGUAAGAGUAAAGGAAAAUGAUAAAAACUUAUAAUCCCUCAGUCCCACAAAGAGAGGCUUCCUUCCAUUAUUACAAAGAUAAAAAAAAAUUCUUAUUGUUUAAAAAAUAAAAAUUGAUGUUGGUGGACUUCCAAUUUUCUUAUUUCACCUGUGUUUUUGCUCAUUGCUACCACAGCACGUCUGUUAAGGCUGCAAUUAAGUAGCGAGAAGAGAAGAGAGGAUGAUUAAAGAGAGAAAGUGAUUCGAAUGGGUUUCUGCAAUAGAGUGAGAGAUUUGCGUGUGUGGGAAAUGGGGACAGCUCGUUGGGUGUCAAAAGGGAGAGAAAAAAGAAAAUCAAAAAAUAACUAUUUGCUAACACGUGUCAAAAUGACAUGUUAUGCGAUCAUAAGCGGGGAAAAAGAGGAGAAAAAAAUAAAGGAUUAAAUUGUAACAUUGUCCGCGCAACUGAAUUAACUUCAAUUUUUGGGUGAGACUUACUAAUAAAGUUGGAAGAAUCCAUAUGUACAUAUUUUAAGUUUACAGAAGUUGCACAAACUCAUGUGUGUGGGCUUUACAGUAUAUAAAAUAUUCCAAAAAUAUUGUGGGCCUCAAGAACUGUGAGAUUUCUGUACCCAUUCUGUAUAAAAUUUUUCUAUACGUGUAUAACAGCCCAAUAAAGUUUCCUUUUCUUACAUUAUGGCAGCAUGGGUACUUGUCUGCAUUUAAUACAUUUAAGCAUUUUGUUACUUUCUUUGUACGUAUUGAUAGAGCUUGAAGCGUCAACUGACUUGAAGAUGAAGUUGAAAUUUAAAAAGGUUGAACUUCAACUUUAAGGACCCCCACCGUUCCGUCCUUGGAGUAUUAUGAGAGAGGUAAAUCGAGGGAUGUGACUCAACAGACCAGGGAAUAAGAACUUGUCUGUACACUGAUAUCCACAAAGAGUCCAAUUCUAUAUUUCGGGAGUUGAAAUUUAAAGUGUAUGUGAAGUUGAUCAUUAUAAUUUACUCGGGCAAGGACUCGACCCUUUUUCUUUCAAAAUUGACACUUAUUAAGCCCCCGUUUGUUUUCGAUUAUUUACUAAUUAAAAUGAAAAAUAUAACCAUUAUUCAUCACAUCAAGCCACCAUAUUUGACUUUUUAUCUCUUGUGUGGGACCCGUAACGACUAUAUUUUUCAUUCUCAUUUUUACAUUAUUAUGUACCAAACAGGGCCUAAACCUUUCUUUUUGAAACCGUAUAUUUAUACUCUUUUCAAAUAAAUUGGUGAAUUAUGGUGUUACUGAUAGCAAAAAGUCAUGUUAAAUUCUUCUCAUGAACUCUAAUUAUUGUUUUAUUUUUUAUUUUUAUGAUCGUGGGUGUACAGGCCAACUUACACGCACCUCAACUAAUUUCACGGGACCCUAAAGUUUACGGCCGGCAUAAACUCUAACUAUUAGAAGAUGCAAGAAUGUCUAAAGAACCCAAAGGAGCUCGUAAAAUCACUUGAGAUGAUUUUGCGAAUGGGUUUAGUGACUUACGAGAUGCUAUUCUUUGCCAUAUUUUAUCAUUUCUGAACACAAAAUAUGUGGAGGCCACUCUAUACAACUCAUCAGAUUUAAGGACCUUUUUGUUUCUGUCCUUGACAUCCUUCUUGAAUUAGUCGUUGCGGUAGAAAUUGCAAGGUGUAGUCUUAGACAAAUUAUGCUACGAAAUGUGCCUCAAAUCAUUUAAUUUCGUUUUAAAUGCAAUUUCACUUUUAAUGAUUCUGCAAUCAAAACUCUAGCAUGUGCUGCAAUAUGGCAAAGUUUUAAACAUGUUGAUAUUUGUGUGAGGUAAAAUCACUAGAAUAUUAUCAUCUGAAUUCUAUAUCACUGGUUGUCUUGAAGCUAAGAGGGUCUUUGAAUUUACACGUCCCAUAUAUGAUCUCCUCACCCAAUUUAAAGGAGAUUCUCUUCGAAGAUUUCACAUUAGCAAGUGAUGAUUUAAUGAGAAGAUUGUUCAAAGUUAUAAGCUACUUGAAGAUUUGUCGCUAUUUGGGUAGAGAUUUGAGCAUGUUGAUGUUCUUUAUCUUUCACUCCUUUCCUUCGAAAACUUUCUUUCGAUCACAGUUUUGGACACAAGAAACUAAACUUGUAAUUGAUACAUUAGAAGAACUAAAGCCUCUUGCAAGAGCGAAUAUUUCUUUGCAAAUGACUGCGUAAAAUCAAGAGAACGUAGAUGAGUUUAUCAAUGGGAUGCAUGAAAUCAAAUCAAUUUAUUUAUCAUUUGUAAUCUAGAGGUAAAAAAACUAAGCUUUAUUAUCUACUCCACAACGUAUUAUGAGUAUAGAAAAAUUUAUAUUCAAAUUACAAAUACAUCUACUAAACUACCUUUGACUGUGUUUGAUCACGUCCAAGUGCAAUAGUUAUGCUUGCGUCUAUCAAACUCUAUAGCAGCCCGUUCUAAAUAGCUCAGGCACCUAUCUAUGUUAGUUCGAAAAUUUGGGCCCACAAACUGGAACAGUUUUACAAAAAUGACGACAAUCAUUCAUGAUUUUGAUCAUCAUGAGUAUAUAUAUAUAUAUAUAUUAGGAUGGCAAAAAAAUUCUAUAAAACCCGAUAUCUGUGAGGUCCCACCCCAAACCAAGCAGGAAUUACCCGCUUAAUCCGAUAUUCAAGUCGGGUACGGGACGGGGGAUUUCCCUAUGUUUAACUUUUUUUAUUUUUUUAACGGGGAAUUUCGCUCUACUUAAAUUUUUUUUUUAAGAAUUCAAUAUUUUAAAAGGAAAGCUCCACGAAAUUUUAUUAAUUCUAAUAAAAGAUAUAAACUAAAAUUAUCUAAAAAAUAUGAUAAACAAUAAAAAUCUUAAUUUACUAAAUAUAUUCGAAUAAUUUAACUUUUAAAAAUAAACUAAUUAAUUAAAAAUUUUAAUAACUAUAUUAUUGUCUUACUUUAAUAAAUGGGAGCAAUAAAAUUGAUUAUAAAAAAAAAAAGACUAAACAAGUAUGUAAACGAGACAAGGGCCCAAACCCGCCCCGCCCUACCCCACCUUAAAUGCGUAAUAGGGUGGGUACGGGCCCUGCCCCGACUUGAAUUUGCCCCGUUACCAUCCAUAUUAUUUGUUUUAUUGCACUUUAUAUUGUAUUAAUUUUUCUGAAGAUAUGUCAACAUAACAUGAUAUUAGGAUAGAUACGACCAGCGACGGAUCCAACACCCGGUGAGGGGGUGCGGUUGCCCGUGCUGGAUCCAUUGGUAGUUUCACUUGCCGUCGGGCACCAAGAGAGAAGCUUUCAUAGUUGCAAAGAAGUCACAAAUUGAAACCAUGGAGGCGGGAUUUUGGGAAGAAGAUAGACAACCAUGGGUUAUGUUUUUUAUUUUUUUUAUUUUGGGCCUCCUAUUAAGCUGUUGGUUUUUUAAAAAGUGGAAAUUACACAAAUUAAUAGAUUUAAAGAUCCCAUUUCAUAAAUCAUAGGUGAAGUUUACUAUUUCAAAAAUCAGAUAUUUUAUUAAUUAAUUAGUAUAUUUUAAAUAUUAAUAAUUAUAUUACAAAAUUAAAUAUACAUAUUCAUCCUACCAAACCCUAAAUUCAUCUUCAUUCAUCCCUUUCAUUUUCUCUCUCUAUAUCUCACCUCCGUCUUCGUUCCUUUCAUUUUUUGUCUCUAAAUUCAUAGGCCGUCAAUUCGUCAAACUAGAAUAUAAUACAAUUUAAUUAUUAAUUGUGGAAUAUUAAAUAACUCGAUUCAUCAAUUUUUGCAAUUUUAGCCUCUUAGGAGAGAAAUGAUUACCUUUGAAAUCAAUGCGACGUUUCAUUGUGAUCGACGAAGGUGAUGGUGACUUGAACAAGUCAAGAACAGAGAUCGGACUUGGUUGCAGUCAUUUUGGCUGUGCUAUUGAGCAAUUUAUCACACCUAUCUAGAAACAAUGGAAGAUUCAUCCUCUAUGACGAUGGUGGUGAUUUUCUCUUUCCGACGACUCUCCACUGUGGAUUUCUUAUUCCUAGUCGAUCAAUUCAUGACGGUUUGAAGUGAUCCUCUUUUUCUUGUGUCCAACUUCGGCGAGUGAAUGUGAGAAAGUCUAAUUCUUUGUUGACUCGUUAGCUCUACUACGAGUUUCAGCGUUUAACGGCUUAGGUUUGUUGAGCGAGUUUGACCGCUUCUCAUUACUCUUACUCCAAGCUAGUGCGCUUGAGCUUCUAGCUUGCCUCGUAGGGCUCCUAACUUUUUUCAUUGAUCACAAGUCAGCAGCAGUGAUAUGGUGGUCACAAGUGUUGUGGUGAUCACAAAUUAUUUGGUUGACUGUGACCAUUAAAGUAGUUAAUAUGUGACCAGUAAAAAAUAUGUGGCUAAUAAAAAAUAUAAAUUGUGACCAAAAAAUAACGUGUGACCUAAGAAAUUGUUAAUAUGUGGCCGAUAAUUUAAUAAUUUUUUACUUUGUAAUAAGUUAUGACUUAUAAUAUUUGUAAUUUGUGAUCAAUAAAUAAACUGUGACCCAUAAUUUUGUUCAUUUGUGAACGAUGGACAAACUGUGACUUAUAAAAAUUUUAAAUUCUGAUCGUAAAAUAAUUUAUAACAUAAAAAUUUUGAUUUUGUGACUAAAAAAUAAUAAGUGACUAACUAAGUCAUUAAUUUGUGAUCAAAUUGUAUAAAUUUGUGACUUAAAUAAAUUUAAUUAAUUAAUUAAAUCAUAAAUAAAUUUUAAUAAAAAUCUGAUUUUUGAAGUUUGAAACUUGUUUCUUGAUUUUGAAAUGUGUGAUACUUAAACUUUCUCUAUUAAGAAAUUAGGCCCAAUUUUGAAAGAAAUGGAUUUGGGCCGGUGAUUGAUUUUUGAAAAGAAAUUGUAAGCUCUUCCAAAUUGUUUGGAAAACCUUCCUCUAUGAUGUGGUGAUCAACAACUUUGAAGUAUCUUUAUAUUCUUGAGCAACCCUGGGUCACGCCUACUAUUGAAGAUCACUCCUUGAAAACAGAAACAACAUAUCUCGCAACUUUGAGUGUUGAAGGUGAGUAAUCUGCUUGAUGAUUUUGGGAUUUUCUUGAAUCUGUUAUUUGGGGAGUUUGAUUUUGGACAAAAUGUGUUUGAGAGGAAAUAAGGGUUUUGAUAAAGGGCUGCAAUUACAAGGUUUUCCAUGAUUUAUUGUGUAUUAAAGUAGUGCUUUCUUUUUUUUUUUUUUUUCUUUUUUUGAUUGAUUCGUGCCGUCAAACAUUAUAAUAAAUGUGUUGGGGUUUUUUUUUUUUCUUUUUUUGAUUGAUUCGUGCCGUCAAACAUUAUAAUAAAUGUGUUGGGGUUUUUUUGUUUUCAUUUUUUACUGCUAAAAUUGCAGCAAAUCAUUAUAAUAAAUGUGUUGGAAUAUCUCGCGAUUUUGGCUCAUUGUUCAUUUCAAUUUAUCUCUCUUCUGGCAUCUUUACACUUUUGUUUUAAUGUAUAUGCAUUUUCAUAGUUCUGAUAGAUGUCUUAAUAGUGUGGUUGGUUGAUAGAGUGGAUUGGAUUGACCGGUCACCAGAUGAUCUUAAGAAAGAAAACAAAAAAACUAAAACUUUGUCCCUCGUAUUGUUAAAUGUAUCCAGUUCUGUGCACCAAAAAUUUUCUAUUCACCAGCAAUUUCACCAAUGCUGUCAAUUUUUUCUUGUUCCUUUAAGUCAUGAAGGGGAAUUUAUCAGAAAAAAUUUCUCCGAUUUGCCGUAGCUAAACUCGAAUCCUAGAUACGACCAAUAUAAAUUGCAAAUAAACCCAAAAGGCCCAUUAUAUGUCUCAUCGUUUCUCACUGAAUAUUGGCGUUAUUUGCUAUAGCUGCUAUAAUGGAUCUGCCUGUUAGAAUGUGUGGGGUAAAUUUUUGUUAGAUAAAUUUUUCAAUAAUGUAAAUAUUGAUUAUGGCCUUGAUAUUUCCUUUAUACAUUUUCUUUUAUUGAGAUAUAUAUUGGUUGCACUGGCCUUCCCAUUGAUGAUCUUGAUUCUUGAAUAAUUCUUUAUUGACUAUAAUGCACAUUUUUCUUGAGGUAAUCUAUGAUUUAUAAUUACAUGUAAAAAUAUAUAUAUAUUGAUAUUCUACGACAUUGACAAUUACAAUAAAAUAAGCAUUCAACAAUUUUAUGUCAUCCCCAUUCCGAUGAUCUUCGCUCAAAACUUGGAUUCACUCCCUUAUUAUUCUUGUUUGAAUAUCUUUACUAUGUGAGAUUCCCUUAUUUUUAGGAAAAAUUGUAGUCAAUGUACCAAACCUUUACUUUAUUUGCAGACUUUGUUCGAACAUUUCAUUUGUGUCACCGUAAGUACCCAAGCUUUAAAAAAUCUGCACUUGGAUAGAAACCGUUACUUUUUCCAUUGAUUGACCAAAAAUUAAAUGUCUGACCAUUGUUGACUAAUUUUCAAGAGCAAAAAGGUAACUUUACAUUUUUUUUCAUACAAAAAAGCUAAAAUAAAAGGAAUUAAAUAAAUAAAUAAAUCAUAUUAUCUUCUCUACUCACCCACCCCCUUCCUGAAACCAAAACCAAGAGCACGAAAACGCCGACACCCAGCACCUUCGUCUCCAACCUUGCUUGGCAUCACCAUCCAACAAUCACCAAUCGAAUCUUCUCCCAGGAGGAUAAACGCCUUCAAUCAAAACCCAAGCAUUUAUCCUAAUAUAAACUCAUGCAUAACUUUCUUGGAAACCCAUCUCUAGUUUUGAUUCAGAAUUUGGGGAAAUUAAGGAAAAAUGAUGACAACUGAAGGGAUGAUGGAUAGAAUGGGUGUUGGAUGAUAUAAUAAGGGGGCUUUUGGAAGGCAGGNNNNNNNNNNNNNNNNNNNNNNNNNNNNNNNNNNNNNNNNNNGAAUAGGUGCAGCUUUCAAAGGUGGAGAUCUGGCAACUUUCGGAGGCAGAGAUGAUUGGAUAAAUUUCUAUCUUAAACCCAUCUCAACUGCCAUACUACAAAUUCUUCAUACAGUGAACUAAGAGCUACAAUUGAAAAGUGAAGGAAUUGUGUAAUUUUGUCUUUGCCUUCCUCAACAAAACUCUGCAAUACUAUGUCCAUGUCUGAAAUCUAGAUUUCAAACUCUACAUUUCCUUCUCAAGAUUUGUAGAAGGAGUGGUGGUGUCGAUGGAUUUGGUGGCAAUCAUGAUUGGUGGAUUUGAAGGUGGAAGGUGGCAGUGGUCCGAUGGCUGUGAUUUCGGAAAGAAGAAGGGUCUUCCCUUUUCUAUUAUACUUUUUUUUAUAUUUGUAUUAAUUAUUACAGCAUUACCUUUUUGUCCUUGAAAAUUAGUCAACAAUGGUCAGACCUUUAAUUUUUGGUCAAUCAACGGAAAAAGUAAAGAUUUUUGUCAAUUUGGAUUCCAAGUGCAGAUUUUUUAUAGAUUUGGUAUUCACGGUGGCACAAAUGAAAAGUUUAGACAAAAUCUGCAAACAAACAAAAGGUUUGGUACCUUGACUGCAAUUUUUCCUACUUUUUAUGCUUGAUUUAAGGAUAUUUUUAUAGAAAAAGUACAUAACUACAUUACUUUAAUUAUUCAAUUUCUUAUUUAACAAACUUACAAAAAUAUUUCAAAAAUCAGAUGAUAAAUUAUAUUAAUUUAUUAUAUUUUUCUAAUAUUGUAGUAAAUGAAAUUUAGGAAUAUUAGUCUAAUUUACAAUAUUUCCAUUAACAAUAUCGUAUCAUAAUAUACAAUAAUUUAACUAUUAAGAUAAUUGUUUCUCUCACCUCCAACUUUCUUUCUUUUACAGAGACUCUCUUGGGGUUCCAAAACUAUGAAAUUUUUUUUGCAAAAAUCAGGCAAUCAAAUUUUGUAACAUCUGAUAAAAUUGGUAACAUAUAAUUAAAUUAAACAGGCCGCGAUCCCAAUAAGUCAAUAAAUUAUAAUUUACCGUCACAAUGCAAAUAACACACAAUCACAAAAAUAUAAUUUGUAUAUCAUAAUUACAAAUUUAGUUGUAAAUUACUCACUUUUAUUUGUCACGAAUUAUCAAAUUAACUCGUUACAAUCACUAUUCAUCGCACCCUAUCCUAUUUCAUCACCAUUGACACCACCCAAAUCAUUGUUACUACCUCAAAUCUACAACCUACAACCACUUUCACAUUCACCUCAAAUCCACGAAAACCGAUGACAUCUCAACCUCCAUUGCCGCCGCCACCACCCUUCGUCGCGGGAAAAAAAAACUAAUGCAAAAACCACCAAAAAGAUCAACAUUUUAAAUUAUCUAGAAAUAUGUCAAUAAUUAUUCGUAGUUAUGAAUAGUCAUCAAAUCUGGUGUUAAUGUAGCAUUAUUAUUUGCCCAAGGCACUUCAAAUCUGGUGUUAAUGCUGCUAACGUCGAUGAUAACUUUUUUCUCUUGAAUUGAUUUCAACAAAAAGCUAUAGUGCAAUACGUAUGACGAUGUUGAAACAACUAUAGAGCUCCUCUAGGUAAGGGAGCUCAAUAUGAUUGCCUUCAUUAUAUAUAUAUAUAUAUAGAGAGAGAGAGAGAGAGAGAGAGAGAGAGAGAGAGCGUGCAUUUGUUGAGAAAUAAAGUGUUUAGUAGAGAGAGUUGAUAAUAAUGUAGCCAAAAAGUAUUUUUACAAUGGAAUGGACCGCGGAUAGCAGAGAAUAAUCUUGCAUAGGUACUUACGUAUAAUAAAUAUCACUACAAUAUAAAAGAGUCUAACCCUUUGGCACUGUUCAUUCCGGACACAUGUCUCAAUUUCCCGUUGUUCAAGCAUUAUGAUGUCGUUAGGAGAAAUUUUAAAGUUGCCCUAAUUGCUCUCCUUCAAGGCAAUAAAUCCUCUCAUCUCUUGCUCUCUUCCAGAGGAAAUGACUCCGGUCACUAUUUCUCGGCAACAUAAAUAAGCCGUUGUUGCCUCAUCGUCAUAAUCACCACCAGGGAAGGAGUCACCUCAAGUAGACAAUCAACUACUUGAUUCAGAUUUUAUAGUGAUACUAUUGACACUUCUCUUCAUACUAAUCUGUGUUCUUGGCCUUUUCGUCUAUUGAUACUAUCGAAAAUUCCGCUCUCCAUCAUCGUCUGUCUCUCCGCCACUACCUUCUCCUUAAGUGUCAUCGAUGCCUCUACCAUGUGAGCCCUUCCUUUUCUUUUUUAUUUAUUUUUUUGAGCUUUUAGUAUAUUUUUAUAGAUUUAGUAUUGUCAUUUGUGAACUAUGAUGAAUAAUGAAAUUAAUGAUGAAUUUUCAAUGAGUUGUUUGGAAUUCUAUGAAUUUCAAAGGAAAUGGAUUGUAUGGAAACCGUGGGUUUGGGUUGGUUUUGAUUCCCAUGUGCGAAAAAUGGUGUUUCUCGAAACACUCUAAAAGAGUGCUAUUUCUGUUAAUUGGUCUAUUUCGUCUAUUUAAAUAAACCUGCCUAAUGGGCAAAUAUUGGUUGGCCGGUUGAUGAUCACUCGGACUGCGCUAGUUUAGACCCUUUUUGGACCGUUAGAUUUAAUCAAGGGUUGAGAUGAUGCCAUGGAAAAUGAAGCGUCCUUUUUCUUGCCCAAAAGUUAUGAGGCUUUGUGAUACUUCAGAUUUUUCAUCUUCUCUCUUCUUCGUCUUUUUGGGUUUGAAAUUUUUCUUCUCUAUUUAUAAGGUUUUUGCGAUUGAUCAAAUAGAUUUUUUAGGUCUUGUGUACAAUCAGGCUUGAGAUAUUGGCUGAUCUUGUAUUGUUAAACUCUGAAAAUGUUUGGUUGAUUUGUUUGGUAGAUUUGUGUAUGUUUCAUGAGAUCGAUUCGAUCAAUGAGUGAAACCUUGUGGCCUGAAUGGUUCUUGGUGUACUCUUGCUCUCUUGAACGGUAGAUUGUGCCAUAGUGGAAUGGGCUGUCCCUGAGCCCCCAGAUUAGGCCUAUUUUGGCUUAAUUUGGUCAACAUUUUUUCGUGUUCUUGUGUUCGUUUUAUGAUUCUUUGUGUAUGAUGUUUGUUUUUAUUUCAAAUCUUUUUAAAAAUCAACAGUAAAUUCCCAAAAAAAUUGGUAUCAAAGCCUCAAGGUUUCUGGGUUCAAUAUUUUUUUGUGAAACAUCUUUUCUGGGUCAUUUUGGUUCUUCAAUCUGUGUAGAUCUUUUCUGAUCUACACACAUACAGUUUGGUAUCUUGUCUAUUUUUUUAUAAAUUUGUUUACUAAUCAGUUUGUUUUUGUAAAAGUAAUGAAGGUGACAAACAGAGGCUUUGGUUGUUGGUUUGAUUUCAUGCAUUGUAUCAAUAAUAUUGUCUCGACAGUAUUGGUAAGAUCUGUCCAUAAUACUUUGUGAUUUCAAUUGGACAUUUAUUGUUUGGAAUACAUGCACAUAUCGAUAUAUGUUGUUCUGGAUUUUGUGAAUUAGUAAUAUAUAUAUAUAUAUAUAUAUAUAUAUAUAUAUAUAUAUAUAUAUUUAUAUAUUGAGCCUGUUUUGUACCUUGAUAUAUAUUUGACUGGAGUUCUUGUAUAUCUGAUUAAAUUGGUAUAAAGAUAUACUAUCGAAUACUUGCUCAAUCUCUAAAAAGUUUUUUGGAACUUUGGUUUCUUGAAACUAUUUACUAUAAAAAAAAUUCAAAAACCUUUUUUACAAAAUCCAUGAGUUUAAGCCAAUCUUUUACAAAAUCUAUAAUGGGUUUGAAGGUCAAAUUGUUCCAUUUCAAUGGAAAUGGGGAUUACUCUGUAUGGAAGCAAAAAAUGGGAGCCAUCUUGGUCCAACAGAGGGUUGCAAAGGCUCUCGAUGAUCCUGAAACUUUUUCUUUUAAGUUAAAAGCAAAACCUGCUAAAAUUGAAGAAAUGAAUGAAAUUACCUAUAGCUCUAUAAUUUUGCAUUUAUCUGAUAAUGUGGUUAGACAAGUUAAUGAUUCCAAAACUGCAAGAACUUUGUAAAAUGCCUUGGAUGAUUUGUUUUAAACCAAGACUCUUCCUAACAAGAUAUAUUUGUUAGAAAAACUAUUCAGUUUCAAAAAGGACCAAGAAAAGGAUUCGGAAGUCAAUUUAAGUGACUUCAGCAUAAUUGUUAAAAGUCUUGCACAAAAUAAUAAAAAAAUUGAAGAUGAGGACUUGGCUGUUAUACUAUUGAAUUCACUGCCUGAAUCUUAUAAAGAUGUUAAGAAUGCCAUAAAAUAUGCUAGGAACACACUUACACAAGCAAUUGUGAUCGAUACCUUAAGGUCAAGAGAGUUAGAUGUGAGGAGAGAAAAUAGAACCAACUCAGUAGAAGGAAGCUUAUUUGUAACGGAAGAACUAAAAAGAAAGGAUUUAAUUUCCAAAACAAGAAGGGAAGGGAAAGAUCUAAAUCCAAAGAUAGAAGUAAUAAGAAGUGUUAUAACUGUGGAAAAUUGGGACACUUCAAGAGGGAUUGUUUUGAGUGAAAAAAGAAACAAAAAGAUCAGAACAAUAAUGAUCAGAAUAAUGAAGCCAGUGACUGACUUGGACAGUCUACAUGUACUAAAUGUGUCAACUGAAAACUCUAGUAAAGAUUGAAUUCUAGAUACUGGAUAUACCUUUCAUAUGUGCCCUGAAAAACAUGGUUUUAUAAUUACAAUGAAAUAGAACUAGGAAAAGUGUAUACGGGAGAUAAUAAUUCUCGUAUUGUGAUUGGCACUGGUGACAUUGCUAUAAAAAUAUUUGAUGGCAUUGUCAAGUCAAUAAAAAAUGUGAGAUAUAUCCCAAAUCUGAAAAGGAGCCUUAUUUCACUAGGGAUACUUCAAUAUGAGGGAUAUAGCUUUAAAUCUGAUAAUAAAACUCUGAAAAUUAUGAAGGACUCUUUAGUAGUGAUGAAAGGACCUAAAAGAAAUGGUUUAUACUAUCUAGAGGGAAAAAAUAGUUAUAUCGCCUUAUUCAAAUGUAUUGACUGUAAAUGAAGAUAAAUCUGGUCUUUGACACAAUAGAAUGGGACACACUGGAAAUAAAUGGCCAAAAUCUUUAAGUAAUCAAAAAUUACUUGGAAACGAUGACAUUGAGCCCAUAGACUUUUGCGAGACUUUUGUGUUGGGUAAGCCCAACAAAAUUAGUUUUGAAUCCAGCUCACAUGGGACCAAUAGGCCCUUAGACUAUGUACAUGCUGAUCUCUAGAGUCCUGAAAAGCAUUCCACUUUUGGUAGAAGUAAGUAUUUCUUAUUCCUCGUAGAUGAUUAUUCUAGGAAGGCUUGGAUUUAUCCUUUAAAGGCUAGGUCAGAAACCUUUCAGAAGUUCAGGACAUGGCUAAGAAUUGUUGAAAAUCAAUUAGAGAAAAAAAACUAAAAACUCUAAGAACUGAUAAUGGGCUGGAGUUCUGUAAUGCAGAAUUUGAUAAUUUCUGUAAGCAGAAAGGGAUAUUGAGGCAUAGGACUGUGAAAUACACAACCCAACAAAAUAAGGUAGCUAGGAGAAUGAACAGGACUAUAAUGAAUAAGGUUAGAUGCAUGCUUAUCAGUUUUGGUGUGGCUAAAGUUUUGGGCUGAAGCUGCCUAUACAAUAGUCUAUUUGAUUAAUAGAUCUUUUUCUAGUAGUGUAGACUUCGAAACCCCACAAGAACUAUGGACAGGUGAAUCCCAAAACUUAACCCAUAUAAGAGUUUUUGGAUGUGCAGUAUAUGCAAUUCAAUCUGAAGGAAAAUUGGAACCUACAACCACCAAAUGUGUGAUGCUAGGAUAUCCAGAAGAUGUUAAAGGCUACAGGUUGUGGGUUUUCGGUGUUCCAUGCAUUAAGAUUAUCAAUAGGAGAGAUGUAAUCUUCAACGAAUUAGAAAUUUCAUGCCUAAAACAAAAAUUUAAAGGAACAAAUGAAUUUGAAAAUAAUAAGAUAUUCAUAGUGAGGUGAAGUUAACUAAAUUUAACUUACCUCAACCUGAAGAUGAUGAAAAUACUACUAUUUAUCAUCAGAAUGAACCUGUUCCUGAAUGUGUUGAAGCUAAAGAACCCUAAUUUGAGGCUGAACUUGAAGAACCUGAACAAAUUACCGAACAUACUGAUAUUCAAGAUUGUCAACUCAUUAAGGAUAGGGUAAGAAGACAACCUAGACAUGAUCCUAGGUAUGAACUAUUAAAUCUAAUAGACUUUGCCUUAGUCUCUAAAGAAAAAAUAGAACAAGCUGAACUUGCCUCUUAUGAAGAAGCAAUUCAUGGGAAAAAUUCUGAAAAUUGGAUAAAGGCCGUGAGAGGGGAGAUGCAGUCCUUAAAUGAAAAUAAAACUUGGAAGCUUGUUAGAAAACUAAAGGAUCAUAGGGUAGUACAAUGUAAAUGGAUUCACAAACUUAAAGAGGGCAAUAGCCCAACUAAUAUUUUUAGGUUUAAGACUAGACUAGUGGCAAAGGGGUAUACUUAGAAAGAAGGGGUUGAUUACAAUAAGAUAUUCUUACCCGUAAUCAAAUAUAAAAUCAUCAGAUUGAUACUAGCACUAGUUCUCAAAUAUAAUUGGGAACUUGAACAACUUGAUGUGAAAAUCGCCUUCUUCCAUGGAAAAUUAGAAGAGGAUAUCUUCAUGAGCCAACCUCAAGAUUUUGAGAUUAAGGGCAAGAUUGAUUAUGUAUGAAAACUUGAAAAAUCAUUGUAUGAACUGAAACAAAGUCCUAGACAAUGGUAAAAAAGGUUUGAUGCAUAUGUAUUAAGAAGUGAAUUUGAUGCUUGCUUGUACUAUAACAACCUGAAAAGUGGUGGUGAAGUUUACUUACUAUUGUAUGUGGAUGAUAUGCUUCUGGCUAGUCCUGAUAAGUCUCAAAUUACAAGAUUAAAGGAUCUUUUGAAAUAUGAAUUUGAUAUGAAAGACUUAGAAUGUGCUAGAAAAAUCUUAGGAAUGGUUAUAAAGAGGAAUGGACUUGAAAAUAGACUAACAAUUACACAAGAAAUAUAUCUAAACAAAUUAGUAACCAGGUUUGGAAUGAAAGAUAGUAAAUUUGUUAAUGUACCCCUUGCAGACCACAUGAACCUAUCUAAAUCUCAGUCCCCUAAAUCUGAAGAAGUAAAGGAAAUGGAAAACAUACCCUAUGUAAAUGCAAUAGGCUCUGUAAUGUUUUCAAUGAUAACCACCAUACCUGACCUUGCUUAUGCAAUCAGAUUCUUAAAUAGAUUUAUGUCCAACCCUGACAAGGCUCAUUAGGCAGGAAUGAAAUGGUUGCUUAGAUAUAUUGUUGUUACAUUAAAUCUAGAACUAGUUUAUGAGAAAAGAUUUGAAAAUGUAACCCUAAAAGGUUAUGUAAAUGCUGACUUUGCUGAUGACAAAGACAGUAGGAAAUCAACUAUAGCUUCUUCUUCUUUUCUUUUUUUUUUCUUUUUUUUUUUGUACUCUUAGGAAAAGUUGCAUAACUUGAAAAUCUCAAUUGCAACCAUUAGUUACAUUGUCUAGGACGGAAGCUGAGUAUGUAGCCAUAAUUGAAGCUGUGAAAGAAUGUAUUUUGUUAAGGGAGAUUUUAAAAGAACUGAACGUUAUGAAUCAUACUCUUGUUAUAUAUACAAAUAGCUAGAGUGCUCUAUUACUUUGUGAAAAUCCUGUCUAUCAUGAAAGAUCAAAAUAUAUUGAGAUGAAGUAUCAUUUUAAAAGAGAACAACUAUCUCAAGGAAAAGUUAAAUUGACUAAAGUUCGUAUCGAUAAAAAUCCUUCUCAUAUGGGGACCAAAGUUUUGCCCAUAUGUAAGUUUAAAAUAUGUUUACUCUUGCUUUAUAUUGACACAGGUUAAUUUUCUUUUGCAGGUCUUAGGGAAAUGAUGAUGGAUAGUAGUUCCACGGGCACUUUCAGCAACCAGAGAACGAGUGCUGUUGAGAAUCAAGGUGAAGAACGUGAACAUUUGUGUUUCUUCAAACACUCUAAAAGAGUGCUAUUUCUGUCAAUUGGUCUAUUUCACCUAUUUAAAUGAACAUUCCUGAUUGGCAAAUACUGGUUGGCCGGUUGAUGUUCACUCGGACUGCGCUAGUUUAGACCCUUUCUGGACCGUUGGAUUUAAUCAAGGGUUGAGAAGAUGCCUUGGAAAAUGAAGCGUUCUUUUUCUCGGACAAAAGUUACGAGACUUUUUGAUACUUCAGAUUUUUCAUCUUCUCUCUUCUGGUUUUCUCUCUUCUUCGUCUUUUUAGGUCUAAAAUUUUUCUUCUCUAUUUGUAAGGUUUAUAUGAUUGAUCAAAUGGAGUUUGUAGGUCUCGUGUACAGUCAGGCCUGAAAUAUUGGCUGAUCUUGUAUUGUUAAACUCCAAAAAUGUUUGGUUGAUUUGUUUGAUCAAUUUGAGAAUGUUUCAUGAGAUCGAUUCGAUCACUGAGUGAAACAUUGUGGUUUGAGUGGUUAUUGAUGUACUCUUACUCUCUUGGACGGUAGAUUAUGUUAUAGUGGAAUGGGCUAUCCCUGAGCCCCCCAAAUUAGGCCUAUUUUUGUUGAACCAGGUCAAUAUUUUUGGUGUUCUUGUGUUCAUUUUAUGAUUCUUUGUGUGUGAUGUUUGUUUUGAUUUCAAAUCUUUUUAAAAAUCAACCAUAAAUUCCCAACACUAUGCCUUUAGGUUUUAGUGGAGUGAUAGGUAGGGAGAGGUUCACUGAUGAGAAAUGAAGGAAGCAGCAAAUGUUGGAAUUGGAGGUUUUCCCAAAGAGGUUGGAGUUGGUGCAGGAUCAGAUUAUAGCAUAAUUUGAGGAAAACUCAGGUCUAUAUGGAGCUUUUUUUUUUCAUUUUUUUUUUUUUUUGCAGCUUUUUUGUUCCAAGUUCAUUUUUGACAUUUAGAUAUUAUAUAUCUGUUUGUAUUUAUGGUACAUAUAUUUUGUACAAGUGAUAUGUAAUUAUGGAUUCUCGCAGAUCUUGUUGAAAAUCAUUUUGGGUUUAUAAACUUCCUCUCAGCUUAUUUUGUUGUCAGUCAGGUAAAGAGGAAAAUUGUUGGGUUUUUUCAAUUUGAUCUUAUCAGAAAAUUGUUGUUUGUUUUGACAUAUGGAUUUUGCAGUUUUAUGAAAAAAUGAAUUUGAAAUUUAUUUUACUGGGGUGUUAUUCAUUGAGUUAUUGUUUAGAAGUGAUUACUUGGUUUUUAUGAACAUCUGAUGGCGUGAAUGGUUUGGUUAUAUGAGUUUUUGACUGAUUGCAAUGGAGGACGUGUCUAAUUAUGUUAAGAAAAGCCUUGAGUAGAUCACAUGCUAUACUUAUUCUUCGUUUUGGGAGAAAAAUAUGAUUUUUGUUGUCUUUUAGGGAUGGGUAGGUUGUGUGAUGAAAAGUUAAAAUUAAGCUGUUGUGAGAAUUUGUUAACUUACAAUCAGAAAUUAAUUUUUAUUUUGUUAAUAUUUCUCCUUUUUUUUUAUAUUUUUUCAUUUCUCUGUCUCAUCUCUCUAAUUUUUAUGUAGGUAUAUGUUUAUUGUACUUUAUGUAACCAUGUGUUUUCUGUUUCUAUGAAUUCUGGUUUCAAUUUUUUGUUCUCUUGAAUUAAUCAUUAUUUUUCUUAAAAUUUUGAUUGAUUAUAGAGUUUCGUUUCAGAUUUACAUAAACUAACCAUCGUAUUAAUUUUGUUAAAAGAUAGUCGUCUUCUAUAAAAAUUAAUGAAAUUUCAUGGAGUUUUCCAUUUAAAACAUUGAAUUCUUAACAAAACAAAAACUAAAUAAAAAUUAAUGGGGCGGGGGCAAGUACGGAUAACGGGGCGGAAUUCCCCGCCUCGAAUACCCCCGAUUAAGCAAGUAAUCACCAUCCCAUUUGAGACGGGGCCUUAGGUAUCGGGUUUGGCUAUUUUUUUCUAUCCCAACAUUGAAAUUAGGUUAUUGUUGAUAGAACUAUGAAAUUUCCUCUUUAUUUUUUCCUUCCAAUCUGUGUAAUCUGCCACCAGGGAGUCCAAGUCCAUUUAGCUUCUGUUUGGCCCCCCAUUAAUUUCCACUUCAUUACAUUUCAUUUUUUUCUCUCCUAUUUUCAACCACACAAUCUUUCGUAAAAUAAUAUUACACAUAAAUUAAAAACAUAUUCUUUUUCAACCACACAUUAAAAAAAUAUAUAUAUUCUACCCAUUUUCAUUUCCACAAAAUGAGGACCAAGUGGGAUAGACUUCAUUCCACUUUAACAAUUGGGUCAAGGCCCCCAAUUAAUGUAUUAUUUCUCUCAAGGGCUCAUUUCUUCCAAAUACUGUAAUUUAGUUCUUGAUAAAAAUUAAUUUGUGCAAUCCAUGUCCUCUUUAAUUCAAUUUAAGCCCUUCAAUUUCUAAAGAGUGAAAUUUGAUCCCCCAAAGCAGCAAAUUUUAUUCAAUUUCGUAUUUCUUGAUCAAUAUUUGCUUUGAUCCCGAGUUUUCUCCUAACAUAAUCCAAACACAAAUAAUUAAGUAUCAAAUUCACAAUAAUACUAACAAAUGCCCAUUUCGUGGCUUAGAUAAGUGUAAAUUUUACACUUAUUAGGAGUAUGUAAAUGAUUUCUAUUAAAUGAAAAUUAUAGUAACUAGUUGACGCUGAAAUACAUAUACUAGCAAACACAUAACAGCGAAUCGAUGAAAAUAACUUCGAAUUUGUCAUUGUGUUAAACACACUUUACGGAAUGUGGAAUGUCCCUAUAACAAAUUUUCCAAGAAAAUGUGAGAAUCUUUUUCAUGAAUAAGUUAGGAAACAAGAAAGGAUUAAACUAAUUGGAGAAGGGAUACAAGUUUUGGCAAAGAAAAAUUAUUCAAAUUAAAAGGCACGACUAUUUCCAAAAGAAGUUAAAAGAUAAUAUCUUUUAACUCAACCACCUUAUGAAAUUCAAAUUUUGUUCUAAUUUCUUCCUUCUAUAUCAUUUCAAGAGAGACGAUAUAAUUUCUUCAUUCAUACUCCAACAUAUUUAACUUCAUCAUUAUUCAAUAUAUGCUAGUGCACAUUACAUAAUUAAGACAGCAAACAUUAUACAACAUUACACUCUCAAACCACUUCUAAAUUUACAUAUUUAUUGGCAUCAUAUUCAUCCACGAAGUUGUAUAUAUAACGCGUAAAUGCUACACUUUGUCGAGCUAGAUUCAGCUUGGAGGCUUAAUUUAAGGUUGUGCAUCCCUCAUUCCACCAGCAUUCUUGCUGCCUCCUCCACCUCCGGACGAACCUCCUUUUGUAUAGCCUGCAGGAUAACCUCCACCUCCAGGAUAGCCUCCUGGAUAGCCUCCUGGAUAGCCAGGCCACCAACCUCCAGGUCCUGGCCAAUACUCUUAUUCACAAAAACAUUAACACAAUUCAUGUUAGCCAUUAAUACAUGUAUACUAUAUUAAUUUAUGCUCAUCAUAAAACAAAUUUAUAAAACACAGAACUUACGAUGAUCUGCUGUCGCUUUUGAUGUAAUCAGAAGAACUACAGCCAAGAAAAUGCAAAAAGUAAUUGUCUUGGAGCCCAUUUUUCUCUCCAAGAAUUUUCUUAUACUUUUUCUUAAUGAGUAUUUUGGUGUGUCAAGCCUCUAUUUAUAGCUAAAAUCUGGACAGAAAAGAGAGAGAGAGAGAGAGAGAUUUGCUAUUUGAGGUAAGUAGAGUACGUCUUGACUUGGUCUACCUUAUCCUCGACCUUUCAGGGUUUACUUGUUUGCAUUAGGGGGGAAAUAGAGAUGAUCAUGUAGUGCCGAAUUUCACCAACCGUCGAAAUUUAAUAUCAUAAAUAAGUUAAUGUCACACGAUGAAGUGCCUAAUUUAUUUUCAAUAUAUCCUAUAACUUAGUCGAGAAUAGUCUGCAUACAAGGGCCUGUUCUAUGUGAUCUAAUACCAUAUUUUUCUAUUUUCUUGUAGUUUAUUUCAGAAAAUUGACGCAGAUCGUUGUGCUGCGGAUUAUUUGCACUGCAACUUCAUAGGUUAGAGGCCAUUUGCGUCAAUUAUCGUUUUGUUUCUAGUGACCCCGGAAAUGAGUCGUCUGCGGUCGCGUUAGGGUAGGCACAGUAAAUAGAUUGUCAUUUAGCAGAUGAUAUCCAUUCAAAUGGACAAAAGGUCAGAUGGGUCCAAAUUCAGUAACUGUUGUUUAAAGCUAUUCAUAUUAAAUAAAAUAAUUUCUUUUUUUAGUAAUAUUAUUAGCAGUCGUUCACUGUCGUAGUCAUCUUACGUGGCAUACAUAUGGUGGUUACUAAUUUGAUACAUUAAUAGGAUAAUCUUUUAUUGUUUUAUGUAUCUAAUCACUAACCAAUACAUAUUUACCAUGUACGGCGACUGCGAUAAUAAACAGCAACUACAAAUAGUAUUAUUCCUUUUUUUUUCUCAUUUCACAAUCAGACUUGAGUGAGAUAUUUCUAGCACAAUUCUCACGGUUUGAAGGUCCACUCUGUUGAUAGAGAGUCAUGCUUGAUUUUGAACCAGAUGCCAGUUAAUCUUAUCAACAAUUAUAUGGUUCAUAUACCAUGCAAUUUACUCAUUUCAUCCAAAAUAGAAUAUCAAAAUAAAAUCGAUUUGCCAAAGAUCGACAACGUCUAAGCCUCCAAAGCUCGACCAAAAGAAAAUGAUAGGGAUUAAAUUGAUCGAAAUUAGAAGUUGUAAAAACUAAUGGGACUAAAUUAAAUUUAUUUGGAAGAUAAUGGUUUAAAUAAAUUAUUAAGGGUUGGAAUUAAUAAUCCAUGAUUUAACUCAAAAUAGGUUCAAGGACCAAAAACUUAGAAAUUAGAAUUUUUGGACAACUUCAUUCAUGAUCGAACAGUCAGCUUGAGGACAGGAUUACGACUUGUAAAUUGAGAGUUAACUCUGAAUCUUAGCUCAUUUUUAAAAUUCAUUACGGGACCAGCGAUUUAAUAUCGAUAUUGAAUAUUUUUCAUCUCACCAAGUAACGACAAAACUAAUGCCGAAGUUGAACUCGAAAUCUGGAAUUGCUGAAUCUUUUUGUGUUCAAUCUUGGUCGUUGAGUAGCCAUUUCUUGGAUGAUUGAGUGAUAUUUGUAGCUAUACGUUCGUCAUAGUGCAUACUUUCAAAAAAAGGUAUAAAGUUUGCCAAAGAUCGCCAACGUCUAACCCCCAAGACUCAAUCAAAAGUGAGACCACGAAGAAUGAAACUAUCCUAAAAUUUGUAGAAUUUAGUAUUCAGACUUUUCCCAUGUGGGAGAAGUGUAAUUAGGACUUAAGGCAUUGUUUAUUGGCAUGGAUUAUGGACUAAAUUAUCUUACUAAGGCAUUGUUUUAUUUACUAUAUGUUGAAGUGGAGAAACAUGCAUGAGUCCUUGAUAUUGAAAUUGUUUAGUCCAAAAAUGGGAUUUCUUACAUGCGAAAACUGGAUACGUGCGUCUUGUACUUAUCUAUGUGAUUGAGUUAUUUUGAUCAAAGAGUGUGUUAUCAUUUAUGAAGUCAAGGCAGCCACUUGCAUCUAUUUGUCAACAAAAGCUAUGCAUCUCUAAUUUAAGUAUGUUAAUAUGUAUAGUUUACAAAGAUAAAGAAAGUAUGAUUAAUAUAGUUGAAACAAUAAAUUUUACCUAUAUUUUUUUUUAAUAUGAGUUCUGCCAGCAAUGUUUAAAAAAUAAAAAUUGAUGUAGGUGGACUUCCAAUUUUCUUAUUUCGCCUUUGUUUUUGCUCAUUGCUACCACUGCACGUCUGUUAAGGCUGCAAUUAAGAAGCGAGAAGAGAAGAGAGGAUGAUCUAAGAGAGAGCGAUUCGAAUGGGUUUCUGCAAUAGAGUGAGAGAUUUGCGUGUGUGGGAAAUGGGGACAGCACGUGGGGUGUCAAAAGGGAGAGAAAAAAGAAAAUCAAAAAAUAACUAUUUGCUAACACGUGUCAAAAUGAUAUGUUAUGCGAACUUCCAUUUUUGGAUGAAACUUACUACUAAAGUUUCCUUUUCUUACAUUAUGGCAGCAUGGGUACUUGUCUGCAUUUAAUGGAUUUCAGCAUUUUGUUACUUUCUUUGCAGGUAUUGAUAGAGCUUGAAGCGUCAACUUACUUGAAAAUGAAGUUGACAGCCACACCGUCCCGCCUCUAAAGUAUCGUAAAGGAGGUAAAUCGAGGGAUGUGCCUCAACAGAUUAGGGAAUAAGAGUUUGCCCGUACACUGGUAUCCACAAAGAGUCCAAUUCCAUAUUUUAGGAGUUGAAAUUUAAAUUGUAUGUGAAGUUGAUCAUUAUAAUUUACGCGAGCAAGGACUCGACCCUUUUUCUUUCAAAAUUGACACUCAUUAAGUACAUUAAUGUGUACUAAACGGGGCCUAAACCACUCUUUUUGAAACCAUAUAUAUAUAUAUAUAUAUAUAUAUAUACUCUUUUCAAUUAAAUUAGUGAAUUAUGGUGUUACUAAUAGCAAAAGUCAUGUUAAAUUCUUCUCAUAAACUCUAUUUAUUAUUUUAUUAUUUUCUUUUUUCUUUUUUUUAUGACCGUGGGUGUCCAGGCCAACUCACGCACAUCUCAACUUAUUCCACUGGAUCCUAAAGUUUACAGCCGGCAUAAACUCUAAUUAUUAUAAGAUGCAAGAAUGUCUAAAGAACCCAAAGGGGCUCGUAAAACCACUCGAGAUGAUUUUGCGAAUGGGUUUAGUGACUUACGAGAUGCUAUUCUUUGCCAUAUUUUAUCAUUUCUGGACACAAAAUAAGUGGAGGCCACUCUAUACAACUCAUCAGAUUUAAGGACAUUUUUGUCUCUGUCCUUGACAUCCUUCUUGAAUUAGUCGUUGCGGUAGAAAUUGCAAGGUGUAGUCUUAGACAAAUUAUGCUACGAAAUGUGCCUCAAAAAUCAUUUAAUUUCGUUUUAAAUGCAAUUUCAAUUUUAAUGAUUCUGCAAUCAAAACUCUUGCAUGUGCUGCAAUAUGGCAAAUUUUUAAACAUGUUGAUAUUUGUGUGAGGUAAAGUCACUAGAAUAUUAUUGUCUGAAUUCUAUAUCAAAGGUUGUCUUGAAGCUAAGAGGGUCUUUGAAUUUACACAUCUCAUAUAUGAUCUCCUUACCUAAUUUAAAGGAGAUUCUCUUCGAAGAUUUCACGUUACCGAGUGAUGAUUUAAUGAGAAGAUUGUUCAAAGUUAUAAGCUACUUGUAAAUUUGUCGCUAUUUGGGUAGAGGCUUGAGCAUGUUGAUGUUCUUUAUCUUUCACUUCUUUGCUUAGAAAACUUUCUUUCGAUUACAAUUUUGGACACAAAAAACUAAACUUGUAAUUGAUACAUUAGAAGAAACUAAAGCCUCUUGCAAGAGCGAAUAUUUCUUUGCAAAUGACUGCAUAAAAUCGAGAGAAUGUUGAUGAGUUUAUCAAUGGGAUGCAUGAAAUCAAAUCAAUUUAUUUAUCAUUUGUAAUCUAGAGGUAAAAAACUAAGCUUUAUUAUCUACUCCACAACGUAUUAUGAGAAUAGAAAAAUUUAUAUUCGAAUUACAAAUACAUCUACUAUACUACCUUUGACUGUGUUUGAUCACGUCCAACUGCAAUAGUUAUGCUUGCGUCUAUCAAACUCUAUAGCAGCCCGUUCUAAAUAGCUCAGGCCCCGCACGUGAACCUAUCUAUGUUGGUUCGAAAAUUUGGGCCCACAAACCGGAACAGUUUUACAAAAAUGACGACAAUCAUUCAUGAUUUUGAUCAUCAUGAGUAUAUAUAUAUAUAUAUAUAUAUGUUAGGAUGGCAAAAAAAUUCUAUAAAACCCGAUAUCUGUGAGGUCCCACCCCGAACCAAGCAGGAAUUACCCGCUUAAUCCGAUAUUUGAGUCGGGUACGGGACGGGGGAUUUCGCUAUGUUUAACUUUUUUUAUUUUUUAAGAAUUCAAUAUUUUAAAAGGAAACUUCACAAAAUUUCAUUAAUUCCAAUAAAAGAUAUAAGCUAAAAUUAUCUAAAAAAAUAUGAUAAACAAUAAAAGUCAUAAUUUACUAAAAAAUUCAAAUUAUUUAACUUUUAAAAAUAAACGAAUUAAUUAAAAAAUUUAAUAACUAUAUUAUUGUCUUACUUUAAUGAAUGGAAGCAAUAACAUUAAUUAUCAAAAAAAAAAUGACUAAACAAGUAUGUAAACGAGACAAGGGCCCAAACCCGCCCCGCCCUAUUCGACCUUAAAUGUGUAACAGGGGGGGGGGGGGGGGCGGAAAAAUUUUAUAAGGGGGGGGGGGGGGGUACAGCCCAGCCCCGACUUGAAUUUGCCCCAUUACCAUCCCUAUUAUUUGUUUUAUUGCACUUUAUAUUGUACUAAUUUUUCUGAAGAUAUGUCAACAUAACAUGAUAUUAGGAUAGAUACGACCAGCGACGGAUCCAGCACCCGGUGAGGGGAUGCAGCUUCCCAUGCUGGAUCCAUCAAUAGUUUCACUUGCCGCCGGGCGCCAAGGGAGAAGCUUUCAUAGUUGCAAAGAAGUCACAAAUUGAAACCAUGGAGGCGGGAUUUGGGGAAGAAGACAGACAACCAUAGGUUAUUUUUUUAUUUUUUUUAUUUUGGGCCUCCUAUUAGGCUGUUGGUUUUUUAAAAAGUGGAAAUUACACAAAUUAAUAGAUUUAAAGAUCCUAUUUCAUAAAUCAUAGGUGAAAUUUACUAUUUAAUUAGUAUAUUUUAAAUAUUAAUAAUUAUAUUGCAAAAUUAAAUAUACAUAUUCAUCCUAUCAAACCCUAAAUUCAUCUUCAUUCAUCCCUUUCAUUUUCUCUCUCUAUAUCUCACCUCCGUCUUCGUUCCUUUCAUUUUCUGUCUCUAACUUCAUAGGUCGUCAAUUCGUCAAACUAGAAUAUAAUACAAUUUAAUUCUUAAUUGUGGAAUAUUAAAUAACUCAAUUCAUCAGUUUUUGCAGUUUUAGCCUAUUAGGGGAGAAAUGAUUACCUUUGAAAUCAAUGCGACGUUUCAUUGUGAUCAGCGAAGGUGAUGGUGACUUGAACAAGUCAAGAACAGAGAUUGGACUCGGUUGCGGUCAUUUUGGCUGUGCUGUUGAGCAGUUUAUCACACCUAUCCAGAAACAGUGGAAGAUUCAUUCUCUGUGAUGAUGGUGGUGAUUUUCUCUUUCCGACGACUCUCCACUGUGGAUUUCUUAUUCCUUGUCGAUCAAUUCAUGACGGUUUGAAGUGAUCUGCUUUUUCUCGUAUUCAACUUUGACGAGUGAAUGUGAGAAAGUAUGAUUCUAUGUUGACUCGUUAGCUCUGCUACAAGUUUCAGCGCUUGACGGCUUAGGUUUGUUGAGUGAGUUUGACGCUUCUCAUUACUCUCAUUCCGAGCAGUGUGCUUGAGCUUCUAGCUUGCCUCAUAGGGCUCCUCGCUUUGUUCAUUGGUCACAAAUCAGCAGCAGUGAUAUGGUGGUCACAAGUGUUGUGGUGGUCACAAAUUAUUUGGUUGACCGUGACCAUUAAAUUGGUUAAUCUGUGACCAGUAAACAAUAUGUGGCCAAUAAAAAAUAUAAAUUGUAACCAAGAAAUAACGUGUGACCUAAGAAAUUGUUAAUCUAUGAUCGAUAAUUUAAUAAUUUUUUACUGUGUAAUAAAUUGUGACUUAUAAUAUUUGUAAUUUGUGAACAAUAAAUAAAUUGUGACCCAUAAAUUUUUUGAUUUGUGACUAAUGAACAAACUGUGACCUAUAAAAUUUUUAAAUUAUGAUCGUAAAAUAAUUUAUAAUAUAAAAAUUUUGAUUUGUGACUAAAAAAUAAUAAGUGACUAACUAAGUCAUUAAUUUGUGACCAAAUUGUAUAAAUUUGUGACUUAAAUAAAUUUAAUUAAUUAAAUAAAUAAAUCAUAAAUAAAUUUUAAUAAAAAUCAGAUUUUUGAAGUUCGAAACUUGUUUUCUUGAUUUUGAAAUGUGUGAUACUUAAACUCUUAAAUAUGAAAUUUUCCCUUUUAAAAAAUUUGGCCCGAUUUUGAAAGAAAUGGAUUUGGACCAGUGAUUGAUUUUUGAAAAGAAAUUGUAAGCUCUUCCAAAUUGUUUGGAAAACCUUCCUCUAUGAUGUGGUAAUCAACAACUUUGCAGUAUCUUUAUAUUCUUGAGCAACUUUGCGUCAUGCCUACGGCUGAAGAUCACUUCUUGAAAACGGAAACAACAUAUCUCGCGAUUUUUUGAGUGUUGAAGGUGAGUAAUUUGCUUGAUGAUGUUGGGAUUUUCUUGAAUCUGUUAUUUGAGGAGUUUGAUGUUGGACAAAAUGUGUUUGAGAAGAAAUAAGGGUUUUGAUAAAGGGCUGCAAUUACAGGGUUUUCUAUGAUUUAUUGUGUAUUAAAGCAGUGCUUUUUUUUUCUCUUUUUUGAUUGAUUCGUGCUGUCAAAUAUUAUCAUAAAUGUGUUGGAGUUUUUUUUUUGUUUUCAUUUUUUACUACUAAAAUUUCAGCAAAUCAUUAUAAUAAAUGUGUUGGGAAUGUCUCGCGAUUUUGGCUCAUUGUUCAUUUCAAUUUAUCUGUCUUCUUGUUCUGGCAUCUUUACACUUUUGUUUUAAUGUAUAUGCAUUUUCAAAGUGCUGAUAGAUGUCUUAAUAGUUUGGUUGUUUGAUAGAGUGGAUUGGAUUGACCGGUCACCAGAUGAUCUUAAGAAAGAAAACUAAAAAACUAAAAAUGUGUCCUAGUAUUGUUAAGUGUAUCUAGUCCUGUGCACCAAAAAUUUUUUAUCCGCCAAUAAUUUCACCAAUGCUGUCAAUUUUUUCUUGUUCCUUUAAGUCAUGAAGGGGGAUUUAUCAGAAAAAAAUUUCUCCAAUUUGCCCUAGUUGAACUUGAAUCCUAGAUUUGCCCCUAGAUACGACCAAUAUAAAUUGCAAAUAAACCCAAAAGGCCCAUUAUAUGUCUCAUCGUUUCUCACUGAAUAUUGGUGUUAUUUGCAAUAGCUGCUAUAAUGGAUCUGCCUGUUAGAAUGUGUGGGGUAAAAUUUUGUUAGAUAAAUUUUUCAAUAAUGAAAAUAUUGAUUAUGGCCUUGAUAUUUCCUCUAUAUAUUUUCUUUUAUUGAGAUAUAUAUUGGUUGCACUGGCCUUCCCAUUGAUGAUCUUGAUUCUUGAAUAAUUCUUUAUUGACUAUAAUGCACAUUUUUCUUGAGGUAAUCUAUGAUUUAUAAUUACAUGUAAAAAAAAAUAUUGAUAUUCUACGACAUUGACAAUUACAAUAAAAUAAGCAUUCAACCUCAUCCCCAUUCCGAUGAUCUUCGCUCAAAACUUGGAUUCACUCCCUCAAUAGUCUUGUUUGAAUAUCUUUCCUAUAUGAGAUUCCCUUAUUUUUAGGGAAAAUUGCAGUCAAGGUACCAAACUUUUAAUUUAUUUGCAGACUUUGUCCAAACCUUUCAUUUGUACCACCGUGAGUAUCAAACCUUUAAAAAAUAUGUACUUGGAUAGAAACCAUUACUUUUUCCAUUGAUUGACCAAAAAUUAAAGGUCUGACCACUAUUGACUAAUUUUCAAGAGCAAAAAGAUUACAUUUUUUUAUACAAAAAAGCUACAAUAAAAAGAAAUAAAUAAAUAAAUAAAUCAUAUUAUCUUCUCUACUCGCCCCACCCCUUCCUAAAACCAAAACCAAGAGCAUGAAAACGCCGACACCCACCACCUUCAUCUCCAACCCUGCUUGGCAUCACCAUCCAACAAUCACCAAUCGAAUCUUUGCGUAGAAGGAUAAACGCCUUCAAUCAAAACCCAAGCAUUUAUCCUAAUAUAAACUCAUAAAUGCAUAAUUUUCUUGGAAACCCAUCUCUGGUUUUGAUUCAGAAUUUGGGGAAAUUAAGGAAAAAUGAUGACAACUGAAGGGCUGAUGGAUAGAAGGGGUGUUGGAUGAUAUAAUAAGGAGGCUUUUGGAAGUCAAAUAGGGGAGGGAAAAUAGGUGCAGCUUUCAAAGGUGGAGAUCCGGAAACUUUCCGAGGUAGAGAUGAUUGGAUCAAUUUCUAUCUUAAACCCAUCUCAACGCCAUACUACAAAUUCUUCAUAUGGUGAAAUAAGAGCUACAAUUGAAAAGUGAAGGAAUUGUGUAAUUUUGUCUUUGCCUUCCUUAACAAAACUCUGCAAUACUAUUUCCAUGUCUAAAAUCUAGAUUUCAAACUCUACAUUUCCUUCUCAAGAUCUAUAAAAGGAGUGGUGGUGCCGAUGGAUUUGGUGGCGAUGAUGAUUGGUGGAUUUGAAGGUGGAAGGCGGCAGUGGUCCGAUGGUUGUGAGUUGGGGAAGAUGAAGGGUCUUCCCUUUUCUAUUUUAUUUUUUUAUAUUUGUAUUUAAUUAUUGCAGCAUUACCUUUUUGCCCUUGAAAAUUAGUCAACUAUGGUCAGGCCUUUAAUUUUUGGUCAAUCAAUGGAAAAAGUAACAAUUUUUGUCAAUUUGGACUCCAAGUGAGAUUUUUUAAAAGUUUGGUACUCACGGUGGCACAAAUGAAAAGUUUGGCCAAAGUCUGCAAACAAACAAAAGGUUUGGUAUCUUGACUGCAAUUUUUCCUAUUUUUUAUGCUUGAUUUAAGGAUAUUUUUAUAGAAAAAGUACAUAACUACAAUACUUUAAUUAUUCAAUUUCUUAUUUAACAAACUUAUAAAAAUAUUUCAAAAAUUAGAUGAUAAAUUAUAUUAAUAUAUUAUAUUUUUCUAAUAUUAUUGUAAAUGAAAUUUAGGAAUAUUAGUCUAAUUUACAAUAUUUCCGUUAACAAUAUCGUAUCAUAAUAUACAAUCAUUUAACUAUUAAGAUAAUUGUUUCUCUCACUUCCAACUUUCUUUCUCUUACAGAGACUCUCUUGGGGUUCCAAAAUUAUGAAAUUUUUUGCAAAAAUCAUGCAAUCACAUUUUGUAACAUCUGAUAAAAUUGGUAACAUGUAAUUAAAUUAAAUAGGUCGCGAUCACAGUAAGUCAAUAAAUUAUAAUUUACCGUCACAAUCACAUAUUAGUCACAAAUAACACACAAUCAGAAAAAUAUAAUUUGUAUAUUAUAAUUACAAAUUUAGUUGUAAAUUACUCACUUUUAUUUGUCACAAAUUAUCAAAUUAACUAGUUACAAUCACUCUUCAUCACACCCUACCCUAUUUCAUCACCAUUGACACCACCCAAAUCAUCGUUACUACCUCAAAUCUACAACCUACAACCACUUUCACAUUCACCUCAAAUUCACGAAAAUCGAUGACAUCUCAACCUCCAUUGCCGCUGCCACCACCCUUCACCGUGAGGGAAAAAAAAACUAAUGCAAAAACCACCAAAAAGAGCAACAUUUUAAAUUAUCAAGAAAUAUGUCAAUAAUUAUUCGUAGUUAUGAAUAGAGUCAUCAAAACUGGUGUUAAUGUAGCAUUAUUAUUAGCCCAAGGGACUUCAAAUCUGGUGUUAAUGCUGCUGAUGUCGAUGACAACUUUUUGCUCUUGAAUUGAUUUCGACAAAAAGCUAUAGUGCAAUACAUAUGAUGAUGUUGAAACAACUAUAGAGCUCCUCUUGGUAAGGGAGCUCAAUAUGAUUGCCUUCAUUUUAUGUUUGCAUAUGUAGAGAGAGAGAGAGAGUGCAUUUGUUGAGAAAUAAAGUGUUUAGUAGAGAGAGUUGAUAAUAAUGUGGCCAAAAAGUAUUUUUUUCAAUGGAAUGGGCCGCGGAUAGGAGAGAAUAAUCUUCCAUAUGGUACUUAUGUAUAAUAUAUAUCACUACAAUAUAAAAGUGUCUAACCCUUUGGCGCUGUUCAUUCCGAACACACGUCUCAAUUUCCUAUUGUUCAAGCUAAUAUUAUGAUGUCGUUUGGAGAAAUUUUAAACUGGCCUAAUUGUCCUCGUUCAAGGCAAUAAAUCCUCUCAUCUCUCACUCUCUUCCAGAGGAAAUGACUCCGGUCACGAUUUCUUGGCAACAUAAAUAAGCCGUUGUUGCCUCAUCGUCAUAAUCGCCACCAGGGAAGGAGUCACCUCAAGUGGAUAAUCAAUUGCUUGACUCAGAUUUUAUAGUGAUACUAUCGACACUUCUCUUCAUACUAAUCUGUGUUCUUGGCCUUGUCGUCUAUUGAUACUAUCGGAACUUUCGCUCUCCAUCAUCAUCUAUCUCUCCGCCACUGUCUUAUCCUUAAGUUUCAUUGAUGCCUGUACCAUGUGAGCCCUUCAUUUUCUUUUUUAUUUAUUUUUUUUAGCUUUUAGUGUAUUUUUACAGAUUUAGUAUUGUCAUUUGUGAACUAUGAUGAAUAAUGAAAUUAAUGAUGAAUUUUCAAUGAGUUGUUUGGAAUUCUAUGAAUUUGAAAGGGAAUGGAUUGUAUGAAAGCCGUGGGUUCGGGUUGGUUUUGAUUCCCAUGCGCAAAAAAUGGUGUUUCUCAAAACACUCUAAAAGAGUUCUAUUUCUGUCUAUUGGUCUAUUUCGCCUAUUUAAAUAAACCUGCCUAACGAGCAAAUAUUUUUUUUAUAGAUUUUAGUAUUGUCACUCGAACUGUGCUAGUUUAGACCCUUCCUGGAUCGUUAGAUUUAAUCAAGGGUUGAGAUGAUACCAUGGAAAAUGAAGCGUCCUUUUUCUUGCCCAAAAGUUACAAGACUUUGUGAUACUUCAGAUUUUUAAUCUUCUCUCCUCUAGUUCUCUCUUCUUUGUCUUUUUGGGUCUGAAAUUCUUCUUCUCUAUUUGUAAGGUUUCUGUGAUUGAUCAAAUAGAUUUUAUAGGUCUUGUGUACAAUCAGGCUUGAGAUACUAGCUGAUCUUUAUUGUUAAACUCUGAAAAUGUUUGGUUGAUUUGUUUGGUAGAUUUGUGUAUGCUUCAUGACAUUGAUUCAAUCAGUGAGUAAAACCUUGUGGUUUGAAUGGUUCUUGGUGUACUCUUGCUCUCUUGGAUGGUAGAUUGUGCCAUAGUAGAAUGGCCUGUCCCUGAGCCCCCCAGGUUAGGCCUAUUUUGGCUGAAUUUGGUCAACAUUAUUGGUAUUCUUGUGUUCGUUUUAUGAUUCUUUGAGUGUGAUGUUUGUUUUUAUUUCAAAUCUUUUUAAAAAUCAACACUAAAUUCCCAAAAAAAUUGGUAUCAGAGCCUCAAGGCUUCUGGGUUCAAUAUUUUUUUGUGAAACAUCUUUUCUGGGUCAUUUUGGUUCUUCAAUCUGUGUAGAUCUUUUUAGAUCUACACACAUACAGUUUGGUAUCUUGUCUAUUUUUUUUAUAAAUUUAGGCAUUAAAUUCGUUUACUAAUCAGUUUAUUUUUGUAAAAGUAACGAAGGUGACAAACGGAGGAUUUGGUUGUUGGUUUGAUUUCAUGCAUUGUAUCAAUAUUAUUGUCAUGACAGUAUUGGUACGAUCUGUCAAUAAUACUUUGUGAUUUCGAUUGGACAUUUAUUGUUUGGAAUACAUGCAUAUAUUGAUAUAUGUUGUUUUAGUAAUAUACAUAUAUCUUGUUUAAUCUGCCUACAAUCUACUAUUGAGCCCGUUUUGUACCUUGAUAUAUAUUUGACUGGAGUUCUUGUAUAUCUGAUUAAACUGAUAUAAAGAUAUACUGUCGAAUACUUGCUCAAUAUCUGAAAAGUUUUUUGGAACUUUGGUUUCUUGAAACUAUUUACUAUAAAAAAAAUUUCAAAAACCUUUUCUGCAAAAUCCAUGAGUUUAAGCCACUCUUUUACAAAAUCUAUAAUGGGUUCGAAGGUCAGAUUGUCCCAAUUCAAUGGAAAUGGGGAUUACUCUAUAUGGAAGCAGAAAAUGGGAGCCAUCUUGGUCCACCAUAGGGUUGCAAAGGCUCUCCAUGAUCCUAAAACUUUUUCUGCUGAGUUAAAAGGAAAACCUGCUAAAAUUGAAGAAAUGAAUGAAAUUACCUAUAGCUCUAUAAUUUUGCAUUUAUCUGAUAAUGUGGUUAGACAAGUUGAUGAUUCCAAAACUACAAGAACUUUCUAGAAUGCCUUGGAUGGUUUGUUUUAAACCAAGACUCUUCCUAACAAGAUAUAUUUGUUAGAAAAACUAUUCAGUUUCAAAAAGGACCCAGAAAAGGAUUUGGAAGUCAAUUUAAGUGACUUCAGCAUAAUUGUUAAAAGUCUUGCACAAAAUAAUAAAAAAUUUGAAGAUGAGGACUUGGCUGUUAUAAUAUUGAAUUCACUGCUUGAAUCUUAUAAAGAUGUUAAGAAUGUCAUAAAAUAUGCUAGGGACACACUUACACAAGUAAUUGUGAUAGAUGCCUUAAGGUCAAGAGAGUUAGAUGUGAGUAGAGAAAAUAGAACCAACUCAAGAGAAGGAAGCUUAUUUGUAAGGGAAUAAUUGAAAAGAAAGAAUUUAAUUUCCAAAACAAAAAGGGAAUGGGAAGAUCUAAAUCCAAAGAUAGAAGUAAUAAGAAUUGUUAUAACUAUGGAAAGUCGGGACACUUCAAGAGGGAUUCUUUUAGCUGGAAAAAGAAACAAAAAGAUUGGAACAAUAAUGAUCAGAAUAAUGCAGCCAAUGUCUAAAUUGGACAGUCUACAUGUAAUAAAUGUGUCAACUGAAAACUCUAGUAAAGAUUGGAUUCUAGAUACUAGAUAUACCUUUCAUAUGUGCCCUGAGAAAACAUGGUUUUAUAAUUACAAUGAAAUAGAACUAGGAAAAGUGUAUAUGGGAGAUAAUAAUUCCCAGACUAUGAUGGGCACCGGUGACAUUGCUAUAAAAAUGUUUGAUGGCAUUGUCAAAUCAAUAAAAAAUGUGAGAUAUAUAUCCCAAAUCUGAAAAGGAGCCUUAUUUCACUAGGGAUACUUGAAUAUGAGGGAUAUACCUUUAAAUUUGAUAAUAAAACUCUGAAAAUUAUGAAGGGCUCUUUAGUUGUGAUGAAAGGACCUAAAAGAAAUGGUUUAUACUAUCUAGAGGGAAAAAUAGUUAUAUCGCCUUAUUCAAGUGUACUAACUGUAAAUGAAGAUAAAUCUGGUCUUUGGCACAAUAGAAUGGGACACACUGGAAAUAAAGGGCUAAAAUCUUUAAUUAAUCAAAAAUUACUUAGAAACGAUGACAUUGAGCCCGUAGACUUUUGUGAGACUUGUGUGUUGGGUAAGUCCAACAAAAUUAGUUUUGAAUCCAGCUCACAUGGAACCAAUAGGCCCUUAGACUAUGUACAUGCUGAUCUCUAGAGUCCUGAAAAGCAUUCUACUUUUAGUAGAAGUAAGUAUUUCUUAUCCCUCGUAGAUGAUUAUUCUAGGAAGGUUUGGAUUUAUCCCUUAAAGGCUAAGUCAGAAACCUUUCAGAAGUUCAGGACAUGGCUAAGAAUUGUUGAAAAUCAAUUAGAGAAAAAACUAAAAACCCUAAGAACUGAUAAUAGGCUAGAGUUCUGUAAUGCAGAAUAAGCAGAAAGGGAUAUUGAGGCAUAGGACUGUGAAAUACACACCCUAACAAAAUAAGGUAGCUGGGAGAAUGAGCAGGACUAUAAUGAAUAAGGUUAGAUGCAUGCUUAUCAGUUCUGGUCUGGCUAAAGUUUUGGGCUGAAGCUGCCUAUAUGGCAGUCUAUUUGAUUAAUAGAUCAUUUUCUAAUAGUGUAGACUUCAAAACCUAACAAGAACUGUGGAUAGGUGAACCCCAAAACUUAACCCAUAUAAGAGAUUUUGGAUGUGCAGUAUAUGCACUUCAAUCUGAAGGAAAAUUGGAACCCAUAGCCACCAAAUGUGUGAUGCUAGGAUAUCCAGAAAGUGUUAAAGGCUUCAGGUUGUGGGUUUUCGGUGUUCCAGGCAUUAAGAUUAUCAAUAAAAGAGAUGUAAUCUUCAAUGAAUUAGAAAUUUCAUGCCUAAAACAAGAAUUUAAAGGAACAAAUGAAUUUGAAAAUAACAAGACAAUUCAGAGUGAGGUGAAGUUAACUAAAUUUAACUUACCUCAACCUAAAGAUGAUGAAAAUAGUACUGUUCAUCAUCAGAAUGAGCCUGUUCCUGAAUGUGUAGAAGCUAAUGAACCUCAAAUUGAGGUUGAACUUGAAGAACCUGAACAAAUUACUGAACAUACUGAUAUUCAAGAUUGUCAAAUCAUUAAGGAUAGAGCAAGAAGAUAACCUAGACCUAAUCCUAUGUAUGAACUAUUAAAUUUGACAGACUUUGCCUUAGUCUUUAAAGAAAAAAUAGAACAAGCUGAACUUGCCUCUUAUGAAGAAGCAAUUCAUGGGAAAAUUUCUGAAAAUUGGAUAAAGGCUGUGAGAGGGGAGAUACAGUCCUUAAAUGAAAAUAAAACUUGGAAGCUUGUUAGAAAACCUAAAGAUCAUAGGGUAGUACAAUGUAAAUGGGUUUACAAAAUUAAAGAGAGUAAUAGCCCGACUAAUCUUGUUAGAUUUAAGACUAGACUAGUGGCAAAGGCGUAUACUUAGAAAGAAGAGGUUGAUUACAAUGAGAUAUUCUUACCCGUAAUCAAAUAUAAAAUCAUCAGAUUGAUACAAGCACUAAUUGUCUAAUAUAAUUGGGAACUUGAACAACUUGAUGUGAAAACCGUAUUCUUCCAUGGAGAAUCAGAAGAGGAUAUCUUCAUGACUCAACCUCAAGGUUUUGAGAUUAAGGGCAAGAUUGAUUAUGAUGAAAACUUGAAAAAUCAUCAUAUGGAUAGAAACAAAGUCCUAGACAAUGGUAUAAAAGGUUUGAUGCAUAUGUAUUAAGAAGUAAAUUUGAUGCUUGCUUGUACUAUAACAACCUGAAAAGUAGUGGUGAAGUUUACUUACUAGUGUAUGUGGAUGAUAUGCUUCUGGCCAGUCCUGAUAAGUCUCAAAUUACAAGAUUAAAAGAUUUUUUGAAAUCUGAAUUUGGUACGAAAGACUUAGGAUGUGCUAGAAAAAUCCUAGGAAUAGGCUAACAGUUACAUAAGAACUAUAUCUAAACAAAGUAGUAACCAGGUUUGGAAUGAAAGAUAGUAAAGCUGUUAAUAUACCCCUUGCAGCCCACGUGAACCUAUCUAAAUCUCAGUCCCCUAAAUCUGAAGAAGUAAAGGAAAUGGAAAACAUACCCUAUGCAAAUGAAAUAGGCUCUGUUAUCUUUUCAAUGAUAACCACCAGACCUGACCUUGCUUAUGCAAUCAGAUUCUUAAGCAGAUUUAUGUCCAACCCUGGCAAGCCUCAUUAGGCCGAAAUGAAAUGGUUACUUAGAUAUAUUGUUGGUACAAUAAAUCUGAGACUAGUGUAUGAGAAAAGAUCUGAAAAUGUAACACUAAAAGGUUAUGUAGAUGCUGACUUUGCGGAUGAUAAAGACAGUAGGAAGUCAACAACAACUUAUUUUUUUACUCUUGGGAAAAAUUGCAUAAAUUGGAAAUCUCAAUUGCACCCAUUGGUUACAUUGUCCAGCACGGAAGUUGAGUAUGUAGCCAUAACUGAAGCUACGAAAGAAUGUAUUUCGUUAAGGAAAACUUUUAAAAGAACUGAACGUUAUGAAUGAUACUUCUAUUAUAUAUACUGAUAGCUAGAGUGCUCUAUUACUUAGUAAUGAAAGAUCAAAACAUAUUGAGGUGGCAUAUCAUUUUAUAAGAGAACAACUAUCUCAAGGAAAAGUUAAAUUGACUAAAGUUCAUACCGAUAAAAAUCAUUCUCAUAUGGGGACCAAAGUUUUGCCUGUAAGUAAGUUUAAAAUGUGUUUAUCCUUACUUCAUAUCGACACAAGUUAAUUUUCUUUUGCAAGUCUUAGGGCAAUGAUGAUGGAAAGCAGUUCCACGGGGCACUUUCAGCAAUCAGAGAGCGAGUGUAUUUGAGAAUCAAGGUGAAAAAUGUGAAAAUUUGUGUUUUUAAAAACACUCUAAAAGAGUGCUAUUUCUGUCAAUCGGUCUAUUUCGCCUAUUUAAAUGAACCUGCCUAAUUGGCAUAUAUUGGUUGGCCGAUUGAUGUUCACUCGGACUGCGCUAGUUUAGACCCUUUCUGGACCGUUGGAUUUAAUCAAAGGUUGAGAAGAUGCCUUGGAAAAUGAAGCGUUCUUUUCUUGGACAAAAGUUACGAGACUUUUUGAUACUUCAGAUUUUUCAUCUUCUCUCUUCUGGUUUUCUCUCUUCUACGUCUUUUUGGGUCUGAAAUUUUUCUUCUCUAUUUGUAAGGUUUCUAUGAUUGAUCAAAUGGAGUUUGUAGGUCUUGUGUACAGUCAGGCCUGAGAUAUUGGCUGAUCUUGUAUUGUUAAACUCUAGAGAUGUUUGGUUGAUUUGUUUAGUUAAUUUCAGAAUGUUUCAUGAGAUCGAUUCGAUCAGUGAGUGAAACCUUGUGGUUUGAGUGGUUCUUGAUGUACUCUUACUCUCUUGGACGGUAGAUUGUGCCAUAAUGAAACGGGCUGUCCCUGAGCCCCCCAAAUUACACCUAUUUUUGUUGAACUUGGUCAAUAUUUUUGGUGUUCUUGUGUUCGUUUUAUGAUUCUUUGUGUGUGAUGUUUGAUUUGAUUUCAAAUCUUUUUAAAAAUCAACUGUAAAUUCCCAACACUAUGCCUUUAGGCUUUAGUGGACUGAUAGGUAGGGAGAGGUUCACUGAUGAGAAAUGAAGGAAGCAGCAAAUGUUGGAAUUGGAGGUUUUUUCAAAGAGGUUGGAGUUGGUGCAGGAUCGGAUUAAAGCAUAGUUUGAGGAAAACUCGGGUCUAUGGGGAGCUUCUUCUUUUUUUCUUUUUUGUUCCAAGUUCGUUUUUGACAUUUAGAUAUUAUAUAUCUGUUUGUAUUUAUGGUACAUAUAUUUUGUACAAGUGAUAUGUAACCAUGGAUUCUCGCAGAUCUUGUUGAAAAUCAUUUUGGGUUUAUAAACUUCCUCUCAGCUUAUUCUGCUGUCAAUCAAGUAGAGGAAAAUUGUUGGAUUUUUCAAUUUGAUCGUAUCAGAAAAUUGUUGUUUGUUUUGACAUAUGGGUUUUGCAGUUUUACGAAAAAAUGAAUUUGAAAUUUUUUUUACUGGGGUGUUAUUCCACUACUAAAAAACAGAGUUUCAGGCACAGAUUUUCCGUUCCUAAAGCCUCAAUAUCCGUUACUAAUAAUCUUCACCAACAGAAUAUUUGCAACCACAAAUCCGUUGGUAAUUUGAGGGUCGCUGAUAGUUAUCAACGGAUCAUACCGUAGGUAAAGAGUAAACAUUUUACCGACGGAUUUUCCGUUGGUAAAGUGUGAAUCUUUUACCAACGGAGUUUUCGUUGGUAAAAGUUUUAAUCAAUACCAACCGACUUUCCAUUGGUAAAUGUCUACCAUUACAAUUGAUAAAAUCAAUGUUGUAAAUAACCGUAUAGUAAAAAAGUUAUUUAUUAUUAUUAUUAUUAUUAUUAUUAUUAUUAUUAUUAUUAUUAUUAUUAUUAUUAUUAUUGAUUAUAAUAAUUUUUUAUUUUUAGUCAAUUGAAUUGAAAGGCCAAAAUAUUGUUUAACUCCUUAUUGGACCACAAAUUUAUAGAGGACAACUACAAAGAUACUGUUGUAAACUUUCGAUGUGGGAUAAGUGAAUUAUUUUUACCAACGAAAUAUCCGUUGCUGAAAGAUCAAAAUGUUAAACGGUUAUAUUAGGCACAGAAAUCCAUUGAUAAAGAAUCAUUUUUACUAACGGAUAAUUCGUUUCUAAUUACCAACGGAAUAUCCGUAGGUAAAAGGUUAAAAAUGUUAAAUGGUUAUAUUAGGCACGGAAUAUCCGUUGGUAGAGGGAUAUCAUCUUUACCAACGAAAAAUCCAUUGUUGAUUAUUGUAGCUAAAAGUGAAUUAUUUUUACCAACGGAUAAUCCGUUUCUAAUUACUAACGGAUGGAAUCCGUUGGUAAUAUUUGGUACAUCACCUACGGAAUAUUCGUUGGAGGAAGAUCCAAAUAUUAAACGAUUACAUUAGGCACGGAAUAUCGGUUGGUAAAGAGAUAUCAUCUUUACCAACGGAAAAUCCGUUGCUAAUUAUCGUAGCUAAAAGUGAAUUACUUUUACCAACGGAUAAUCCGUUUCUAAUCACCAACGGAUACAAUCCGUUGGUAAUUUUUCGUAGGUAAAAAGCUGUUUUUUAGUAGUGUUCAUUGAAUCAUUGUUUAGAAGUGAUUUCUUGGUUUUUAUGAACAUUUGAUGGCAUGAAUGGUUUAGUUAUAUGAAUUUUUGACUGACUGCAAUGGAGGAUGUGUCUAAUUAUGUAAAGAAAAGCCUUGAGUAGAUCACAUGCUGUACUUAUUCUUGGUUUUGGGAGAAAAAUAUGAUUUUUGUUGUCUUUUAGGGAUGGGUAGGUUGUGUGAUGAAGAGUUAGAAUUAAGCUGUUGUGAGAAUCUGUUAACUUACAAUCAGAAAUUAAUUUUAUUUUGUUAAUAUUUCUCCUUUCUCUCUAUAUUUUUUCAUUUCUCUGUCUCAUCUCUCUAAUUUUUAUGUAGGUAUAUGUUUAUUGUACUUUAUGUAACCAUUUGUUUUCUGUUUCUACGAAUUCUAGUUUCAAUUUUUUGUUCUCUUGAAUUAAUCAUUAUUUUUCUUAAAUUUUUAAUUGAUUAUAGAGUUUCGUUUCAGGUUUACAUAAACUAACCAUCGUAUUAAUUUUGUUAAAAGAUAGCUUCGAGAUCAUGGUGAAUUCUAACUUCUGAGAUAAUUUUGUAAGAACUAUACUAUUGGAAUUUAUUUUUGUUACUUUAGAAAUUAUUCAAUUCUUAAAUGUGUUGUAAAAACUAACUUAAAGGCGUAAUUUUAGGCAAUUUGUUGUCAAACGACCUCCCGGAUAAUGAGGUAACCUCGAUUUUAUUUAUUAUCAAUCGGUUUUGACCAUAUGAUUGAACUUAUGUCGACACUACCAUCGAGACAAUCCAAUCCAAUUUUCUAUGGGCCAUUAGAAGCAACCUAUUUUAAUAGUGUUGCUCGUGACCCGUCCUAUUUUCUUGGAUGGCUACGAUAUUCAUUGGGAGCCCAAUACAUUUUGUGUUAAGCCUCUUUUGGACCACUAAGGUAACCUAACCUAACUUACCAUAUAUGGUCACACCUUUGGGCUAUAACUCUUGGCUCCCUUCACGCCUCCAAAAUGGUCGUCUUCUUUACUUCUAUCUGUGAGUUCUUCUCGGCUAACUCUCGGCCUCUUACUCUCAAUUAACCUGUGUGGUUUCUCUUGGACCAUAUUGAUCUCAUAUUGGCCGACUCUUUGUGGGUAUGAGUAGCAACCGUAGGUGGGAAGAAGAAAAGAAAGAUUUGGGUGUGUCUCAAUAGUGGUGAUGUCAACUUUUGGUGGAAACUGCAGGAUUUUUGGUCUCACACGUGACACACGAGGAAAUUCAAGAAAUGCUUGUAAAUUUGACACUUGCAGUUUCAUCUAUUCUCUUUAGUUAGGUCGAACAGCACAUACCUCACUGGCUUUUAUUACAAUUUCUAUCCACAUUUACUUCAUGGAUUUUCUUAAUUCGGUUUUCCUUGCAUAGGUUUUGCCAAGAAAUCGAUAUAUUUGGUACUAAGGAUGAUCGUUCCUGUGUGUAGACAAAGUAUCCAAGCCAUGGAUCAUGGUGGUCUUAAUUGUCUGUUGGUUUAUUUCACUGUUGAAUUUUCCCAUAUUUGGCAAAAUGAUUCCAGCGACUCAACGGCAAUUGACCAUUGAAUGAUUUUUUGUUUUGGAAAUUUGAAAUUUUGAAUGGGAUUUUUGCUACAACUGUGGUUUAUAUAUAUUGACAAGACAAAAAAACAAUUUGUUUGUGCACAUAUUUGGCGAGUUUGAAGAAAAGAUAGCAUUGUCUAGGCCUGUGCUGGAGAUAUGUUUUCCUUCUAUACUCUGCAAACUUGUAUGAAUGGUGGUAUAUGCAUAUAUUUUAACGGAGAAGAAUGACCAAUUGAUACCCUGAACAUGGUGAUCUUAUGAGAAGAUCGGUCUCUAACAGUUGCUAACCCAAGGACCUGAAGUUUCUCUGUAAGAAAAAACUAGAGGAACCUUGUCAUUUAACUUAUAUGAAAUCGAUCUCAGUGGUGCUAAGAAGCUUGUCUUAGAUUUAAAAAGGUUCAUCCAUUAUUUCUUGUUUAUCAUUAAAACCCUAUUUCAAUUAUAAUGACGGUACUCAAAUUUUAUUUAUUUUCACACUUACGUCUCUAAAUUUUUUUGGCGUAUUUUUAUCUUUAAUCUUCAAUUAAUUGACAGUUUUGAUUCCGACAUGAUGGUUACAGUCCAAAUAUUUUGUUAAUGUGGAUAAAACAUGUUGUCUAAGCAUGUAUUUUUUAUUUUUUUGUUUAUUUUAAAAAAAAAUGUAUUAAGGGCUAUAGGUUUUUUAACUCCCUCUUAAGGGAUUACCGUCAUCACGGAUAAGAUGUGGUAAAUAAUAGAAACUUGAGAAUAAAAAAUACAAUGAAAAAAGUUAAAAACCAUUUAUUUAUUUUGUUGUAAGUAGUGGAGAGUACAGAACUUCAAAUAACUUGAAAUAUUGGGGGGAAAAAUUUAUUUUGAAUUUAUUUAUUUAUUUUGGGUUAAUCGAUAAUACUAACUGAAUAAUAACUUAACUCCUUUUUUCUUUAAAUAAUGUCUAAUUAUUAAAAGUUAUUGAAAACAAAGACUGUCUAUGCCAACUCAUCCAUAGAGCAGACAGCAUAACAAUUAUCAAAUCCCCGCAAACCCACCAAUGGAAAAAGCUAUUAUCUUUCUAAUUUUGGAAUAGCUUAUUAAUUAAUAUCAUUUUUUGGUUUUCCAUGAAGUAGCUAGGACUCCAUAUCAUUAAUUUAUAUUUGAAUUGACUACACAUUAAUGUAUCUCCAAUUAAAAAAAAGAUUGUAUGUAUCACCAUGAGCAUCGAUUCACCAACUUCCAUUAGUCAUCAGGAUAUUAUAAUUUAGAUUUCUUAACAGCGUCUUAUCAGUAUUAUUCUACAUAACAACGAUCUAUCUGGGAAAUGCUUACAAUACUAAAAGGAAACUAAAUGCACUUAUGAUGCAUGACCAACAACUUGACAGGGUAAUGAGAUAUGGCUUCAUGUGGAUGCUGCUUAUGCUGCAAGUGCUUGUAUCUGCCCAGAGUUCUGGCAAUUUAUUGAGGGCGUCGAAGAAAUUAACUCAUUUAACAUAAAUUCACAUAAGUGGUUUAUAACUAACUUUGAUUGUUCAGCUCUUUGAGUUAAGAUUUAUCACAUUUUUAAUUUAUCUUUAAUACAAAUUUUAUCGGUGCCAUCAUCGAAUUAUUUUCUCAUGUUUGGUUGGUAAGGAUUCCCGGAAUGGAAAAAGUUGAAAAAUAUGUUAUAUCUAUCAACUAUAAGAGAAGUGUUUAGUCAAGUAUUUGGAGCUUCAGGUUGUCUUUUUGUUUGUACUUUAAUUUCAUUUAAUUGGAUUUGGUUCAUGUGCAAUUGUUCUUCUCAUGCUUCAAGGAUUUGGUGGGUCAAGAAGUGAUAAUAUUUCUAGAUGAUAAAUUUGCUAUUAAUUUUUUUUUUAUUUCCGUGAAUUUUUUUUAUUUGUAGGGAUCUCAAUUCAAUUGGACAUGAACGUCAGGUUCAUGUGAUUUGAUGCUUGUAUAAUGUUGGAUUAUAGCCAACUUAAGAGUGAUCCACAUAUCCCAUGUCCCACUAUGAAAGCAGUUAACCCAACGUUUAAAGUCAUGUUUGGUAACCACCCAUGGACGUGCAUAACCGCUCUGUGAUGGGAAGAGCAUUUUAAAGACGUUGAGAUCCAUUCGGAAGGUCCCUAAGCUCAUUUUCACGUUCAGUCUGCAUACACUAUCUAAGCAGUGAGAAAGAGGGCUUAGAAGAGUCUUAACCCGAAGUUAAACACCACCUAAAAGCUUGAGAAGUGUGUGAACAACGACAAUGGCGGGAGGUACGUUUUUCGAUCCAAUUUAUUCCGCAUUGAUCUAAAUGCUAUUUUGUUGAUUAAAGCAUGUUUAGAUCGCUUAAGUAGAUUUUCAUUUGGUAUUAGAGCCUUCGUUUUGCCUCUGCCUUGUUUGUUCUCAACCUGCACACUCUCUGUUGAAAAACAUGAUUUUUGAUUUGGUCGUUUUUAUGGAAACUGAGAUUAGGAAUCAUUAGGAAAUUGAUUUCUGAGAAUUUUGAUAUAAAAUUUGCAAAAUUUGGUAGUCGGAAUUAUGAGAUAUGACCGAGUUUUUCAUUUGGGUUGGAACCGGGUCGUUUCGACCCGACAGGAGGUUGAAGACGACAUAUAAAAAAAAUGGUGGCUAAACAGUCUUUUCAGACCUGGUUGCAUGUAGAGAGAGUUGGGACCUGUUUGCAUGCAGAGAUAGUUGGCAGAUUAUGUAGGCUUCCUUGUCUUUUACUUAUUACAAAGUACAAAAAUGGUUUUGUUUCAACUAUUAGUUUCUAGCCGGAGGCCCACUUGCAUGGAAUAAAGCUGCCAACUUGCAUGAAAUGGUACAAAGGUUGCCAACUUGCAUGAAAUGGUACAAAUAUAAGGCUGUCCACUUGAUCUUAUAGAAAUGGAUUGUUUAAUAUUAUUAUUAGUUUAAUAUCUUGGAACUUGCUGCCGAAGUGGGUUUUGUUUGACUUUUUUAUUUAUUAUUAUUUUUGUAUGUAUAAAUUUUGUAGUGUAUUAUGCAUACAUUAUUAGGUUAAACAAUUUUUACACAUUAAAAUUAAUUAAAGGCUCUUUAUCAAUUUAAUGUGGAUAUUUAUGUGCUAGUUUAUUAUUUUAUUCAUGCAAUAUUUAAGUUGAAUAAUAUUAGUAGAUUAGUAUCUGAUUGUAUUGCUUAUGGUUUAGCAAUAGUUUGAGCCAACGAAUUUAAUUAAUGUUUGGUGAUCCAUAUAGUUUUAAUUAAUUAAGGAAUAGCCACAGCAUCUUUAAUUAAUUGAAAUUAUAUAUUAAGGUUCAUUUGGGAUCACAUUUGAAAAACAAACAUUAAUUGUGAUUAAUCAUACUUGAUAUGGUAAAUCUUAUCCCACUGAAAUUUUUAUCGUAUUAUGUGUGAUUAAUUAGGAUAAAAUAUCAAAUUAUAUUUUCUAAUUUACCCAUAGGAAUUAGAAAAGGGAACAUAAUUUGAUAGUUUUAUUGUUAAGUUAAAAUAAAUAUAAUUGAAUUAGAAUUUUAGCCCACAGGCAAGUUUUAUGUCACUAGAUUCAUGUUUUGCAUGUUUUUACAUUGGUAAAACAUGUCAUAUGUUAUUUUAGCUUCAAAUUUGUAACAUGAGCAUGAAUGUUUGAUUUAUUGCAGCAAGUCAACCUAUUAAUUUCUCUGAUAUGAAAUGUGAUAUUCCCGAGUUGAAAGGGGACAAUUAUAAGGUCUGGAAGGAGAGAGUUCUCCUUCACUUAGGAUGGAUAGACAUUGAUUACGCCAUAAGGAAGGAUGAGCCCCCUACAGUAACUGAUACCAUCACUCCAGAGGAAGUUCAACUUUAUGAAAAGUGGGAGCAAUCUAAUCACCUCUCCGUUAUAUUCAUAAAGACGAAAAUAUCUGCUGGUGUUAGGGGCUUUGUCGAGCAGUAUGACAAAGUCCAAGAUUUGCUUAAGGCCGUUGACGAACAAUUUGUCACUUCAUAUAAAGCGAUGGCCAGCACCCUCAUUAUGCAGUUUUCAUCCUUGAAGCUCACUGGCAUUAAGGGUGUGCGUGAUCAUAUCAUGCGCAUGAGAGAUAUAGCAGUCCAACUCAAGGCAUUGGAAGUUGAGAUGUUCGAAUCAUUCAUGGUUCACUUUAUCCUUUGCACUUUGCCUCAACAAUAUGGCCCAUUCAAGAUCUCCUAUAACACACAUAAAGAUAAAUGGUCCAUUAAUGAGUUGCUGACCAUAUGUGUUCAAGAAGAGGGCAGACUAAUUAUGGAGGAAGGUGAGAAGGAAAAGGUGUAUUUGACAACUCCAGGAAAGAAGAAGAAAGAUCAGGCCAAGGAAAAGGGGAAGGGAAAAAUCCAUCCUCAAAAGGACAUUAAGAAGGAGAUUGUGUGCUUCUUUUACAAGAAGAAAGGGCACCUUAAGAAGCAAUGCUCCAAGUUCAUGAAGUGGCUUGACAAAAAAGGUACUCAACUCUCACUUGUUUGUUAUGAAUCCAAUAUGAUUGAUAUUAAUCAUAACACAUGGUGGAUUGAUUCUGGUUCUACGAACCAUGUGACCAAUUCAUUACAGGACUUGCGAAACCUGCGAAAACCAGUGGGAAGUGAGCAUAGCAUCUAUUCAGGAAAUAAGAUGCCCUCGCAUGUGAAGGCAAUUGGCACGUAAGAUUGGUUUUAAGUAGUGGUUUCAUUUUAAAUUUAGAAAAAACCUUUUACAUUCCCAGUUUUUCUAGAAAUUUGAUGUCAAUUUCCAGACUUGUAUCAGUUGGUUAUUCCUUUAACUUUAAGACUCUGGAUUUAAUUUAUUUUAUAAAUCUGAUGUUAUUGGAUGUGGUACUUUGUUAGAUGGCCUUUUUCUUAUUAAUUUGCAAAACGAUGACAACCAUACUACCAUGCACGUUCAUGAAAAUAUUUUUAUUAAACGAUGUGUUGUGAAUGAAGAGUCUUCUAUAUUGUGGCAUCGGAGAUUAUGACAUAUCUCCAUUGAUAGAAUUAAAAAGUUGGUGAAUGAUGGGGUACUUAGUACUCUAGAUUUUACAGACUUUGAGACUUGUAUAGACUGCAUUAAAGGAAAGCAAACUAAUAAGUCGAAAAAGGGUUCCAAGAGAAGCUCUGAAUUAUUGGAAAUCAUACACACAGAUAUUUGUAGUCCAGACAAGGAAGCAUACCGUGAUAAAUACUUCAUCUCAUUCAUAGAUGAUUACUCACAAUAUAUGUAUCUCUACUUGCUUAACAGUAAAAAUGAAGCACUAGAUGCUUUUAAGGUAUUUAAAGCUGAAGUAGAGAAACAAUGUGGUAAACAAAUUAAGAUCGUGAUAUCCGAUAGAGGUGGAGAAUACUAUGGUAGAUACACUGAGAGUGGACAAGCGACAGGUCCAUUUGCGAGGUUUCUUCGAGAGAAUGGAAUUGUUGCCCAAUACAGUUUACCUGGUUCUCUGAACCAAAAUGGAGUAGCUGAAAGGAGAAACCAAACAUUAUUGGACAUGGUGUGAAGCAUGCUUGAUAGCUCCAAGCUUCCUCACUCUUUAUGGAUUGAAGCUCUUAAGACAGCUGCGUACAUAUUAAACCGAGCUCCAACCAAGGCUGUCCUAAAGACACCUUUUGAGUUAUUCAAGGGUUGGAAACCAAGUUUGCGACAUGUACGCAUUUGUGGAUGCACGUCUGAAGUGAGAGUCUACAAUCCACAAGAAAAAAGUUGGACCCAAAGACCAUAAGUGGGUAUUUCGUUGGAUAUGCCGAAAGGUCUAAGGGAUACAGAUUUUACUGUCCAUCUCAUAGCACUAGGUUUGUGGAAUCAAGAAAUGCAAAAUUUCUUGAAAAUGACUUGAUUAGUGGGAGCGAUCAAUCCCGAGGCAUUUGUCCUGAGAAAGAUCAUUCAGAUGCUUAGUGUGCCACUUCAAGCAAUGGACUGAGUAUUGUUGUUAACAAUACACCUUGAGUACAAACGCAUAAUGAAGGAUCAGCCCACGAAGUUCCACAAGCUAUUAAGCCUAAUCUAGUAGAUGCUGAAGUUCAACGGAUGCCUGAAGCUAUUGAACAGUCUGCUGAACAAAAUGAUCCUGCUUCUCAGAAGAAUAUUGAUGCAGCAUUAAGAAGAUCUACUAGAAUAAGGAAAUCGACGAUUCCUAGUGACUUUGUUGUGUAUCUACAAGAGGCUGACUAUAAUGUUGGAGUUGAAAAUGAUCCUGAAACGUUUUCACAAGCCAUGAAUUGUAAAGAAUCAAUUUUAUGGUACAAUGCCAUGAAAGAUGUGAUGGAUUCGAUGGCAUCUAACAAAGUCUGGGAUCUCGUCAAGUUGCCUGAUAGUGUAAAAGCCAUUGGAUGUAAAUGGGUUUUCAAAACAAAGAAAGACUCACUAGGCAACAUUGAGAGACAUAAAGUAAGACUCAUUGUCAAAGGAUUCACUCAAAGGGAAGGAAUCGAUUACACAAAGACAUUCUCUCCUGUAUCUAAGAAAGAUUCCCUUCGAGUAAUUAUGGCAAUGGUUGCCCAUUUUGAUUUACACUUGCAUCAAAUGGAUGUGAAAAUGACGUUCCUUAAUGGUGAUCUAGAGGAAGAGGUUUACAUGAAACAUCCUGAAGGAUUCUCCUCUAGUGGUGGUGAGCACCUGAUUUGUAAGCUUAAUAAAUCCAUAUAUAGAUUAAAACAAGCUUCCCGUCAAUGGUAUUUGAAAUUCCAUGAUGUCAUCACUUCGUUUGGUUUUGAAAAGAACGUCAUGGAUCAUUGUAUAUACCAAAAGGUCUGUGGGAGCAAGAUUUGUUUCCUUGUUCUAUAUGUGGAUGAUAUUUUAGUUGCAACAAACAAUAAGGGUUUGUUACAUGAGGUAAAGCAAUUCCUCUCAAAGAACUUUGAUAUGAAGGAUAUGGGUGAGGCAUCUUAUGUCAUUGGCAUUAAGAUUCAUAAAGAAAGAUCUCAAGGCAUUUUAGGUUUGUCUCAAGAGACCUAUAUUAACAAAGUUUUAGAGAGAUUUAAAAUGAAGGACUGUUCGCCUAGUGUAGCACCUAUUGUGAAGGGUGAUAGGUUUAGCCUAACUCAAUGUCCCAAAAUGAGCUCGAGCAGGAACACAUGAAAAACAUUACAUAUGCUUCAGCCAUUGGAAGCCUAAUGUAUGCUCAGGUCUGUACCAGACGUGACAUUGCAUUUGUUGUUGGAAUGCUAAUGAGAUAUCAGAGUAAUCCAAUCGUGAACCACUGGCGAGCUGUAAAGAAAGUGAUGAGGUACCUUCAGGGGACCAAAGAUUACAUGCUUAUGUACAGAUGGACUGACAAUCUGGAAGUGGUUGGCUACUCGGAUGCAGACUUUGCUGGUUGUGUUGAUUCAUGAAAAUCAACAUCUGGUUACAUUUUCAUACUUGCAGGCGGAGCUAUACCUUGGAGAAGAGCGAAGCAGACCUUGACUGCUACUUCCACUAUGGAGGCCGAGUUCGUGUCUUGUUUUGAGGCUACUUCACAUGGUGUAUGGUUGAAGAGUUUCAUGUCUGGGCUUAGAAUAAUCGAUUCAGCUUCUAGGCUAUUGAGAUUAUACUAUGACAACUCAGCUGCCGUGUUUAUGGCUAAGAACAACAAGAGUGGUAGUCGAAGUAAACACAUCGAUAUUAAAUACUUAGCCAUUAGAGAACGUGUUAAGGAGAAGAAAGUGGUCAUUGAGCACGUUAGCACUGAGUUAAUGAUUGCUGAUCCUUUAACUAAAGGCAUGCCACCAAAGAAUUUUAAGGAUCAUGUCGCGAGAAUGGGACUUGGUUCCGUGAUGUAAUUUUAUUGUAGGUACAUUUGAUGUUUUAAUGAAACUCUUAUUCAGUCGAUGUUUUCUCAUUUGUUUUGUACACAUAUUUGUAUAUUCAUUUACCUUGAGAAAUAUCAUUGAUUUUUGGACCUUGAAUAAACAUAGGGUUUAUUCAUUAAGUCAUAUGGGUUGGUGUUUAAGAGACAUGAUAUACUGUGAUACAUGGAAGAUAAUACUCGCUUUAAAGGACUUAUCACUAUGAUUCAUGUAUUAUGUUUCUUAUUAUGAUGAAUGAUGGUAUAUAUGGACCAAGUGGGAGAAUGUUGGAUUAUAACCAACUUAAGAGUGGUCCACGUAUCCCAUGUCCCACUAUGAAAGCAGUUAACCCAACGUUUAAAGUCAUGUUUGGUAACCACCCAUGGACGUGCAUAACCGCUCUGUGAUGGGAAGAGCAUUUUAAAGGCGUUGAGAUCCAUUCAGAAGGUCCCUAAGCUCAUUUUCAUGUUCAUUCUACAUACACCAUCUAAUCAGUGAAAAAGAGAGCUUAGAAGAGCCUUAACCCGAAAUUAAACACCACCUACAAGCUUGAGAAAGUGUGUGAACAACGACAAUGACGGGAGGUAAGUUUUUCGAUCCAAUUUAUUCCGCAAUGAACUAAAUGCUAUUUUGUUGAUUAAAGCAUGUUUAGAUUGCUUAAGUAGACGUUACAUAUUACAUAUAAUUAUAGUUAAUUAAUUAUUUUGUUGAUGCUUUAAUCAAGGUUUGUAUAAUUUUCAUUAGUUUAUUCACUUUCCUCUCUAUUUCCUUGCGUGAUGCCUCCCUUCUACAAAGUUGUUGCAUUCUUUCGUUGCCCUAAUUGCUCUACCUAUAUUAUAUACCAUGUGAAAGUUGAAUUUUGUUUGAUAUAUGCAUAAAUUGUGUGGAAGAAUUUUCGUUCCGUGCAUAUAAUUCGUCUAUUGUAUCCAGAUUUGCUUUGUUUAAAAGAAAUAUGCCUUCUUUCUCUUUCAUUGUUGAUUUUUAUUCUAAUUUCUACCAAAAAUUUGCAUGUCUUCUUUACUGAUGUGCUAGGUUAUUAUUAGCUCAUGAAUAGUUGGAGGUUAUAUUUGGUAGGUUUAUUUUCUAGAUACAAUUAUCCAGAGCUGUAGUGCAAAAAUUCUGAUCAAAUCGUUUUUGCGAAGCCAAUGAUUUAUGUAUUUAAAAAGCUUCAUUUCUGAGUUUCACCACCACUUCUUCUACUUAACUUGUGGCAUUUCGAUUUGAUAACAAUCUUCUGAUGAUUCAUCAAUUUUCUUUGCUUGGUAACCGUGAUCAUGGAAAAUCUUUGAUGAAAUUAUGGAAUCAUAGUAUUUGGAUUGUUCAGAAUUAUGUUCCUUAUAGUUUCUGGAAAUGAUUCCAAUAAAUAAUUGAGGUGGAGUCGGAAUUGCUUCAAAUACGAGCUUAAGUUCAAUCUUCUCAAAUUUAACGCUUUAACUGUAUACAUGGAAUGCAUCUAAAUUAUCUGGCAUGCCUUUGGAUAUUGAUAUUGGCCCUGUCACGGAGAGAAGUCUAAAAAUAUUUGAUAUGUUAGUCAGUCACCCUUUAUCUACUACAAGUGGAUAUUCUGCAAUUGUGAUGCCUUACCAAUAUUUUGUUUUAUUUAUCUUUCAAUUGCAGAUCCACUAUUGAAAAUUAAGAAGAAAACUUUUACAUGCUGUUAGAAUAUUUUUUGGGGAUAUUUUUCUUUGAGUUGCUUUUAUUUUAUUGUGGAGAGAACCAAUAGGAUUCUGGAUUUUUGGCAUUCACAUGGUCCAUUCCAUAGUCCAAUCCUUUAACUAUUUUUGCUUCUACCACAAUAGACUGUAAUUUUUAGAAAUAUUACAUACAACUUACGUUCGUACGUUUUGCCAGUACUUUGGUCAUUUGAUUAAUGGUACAUGUGGAAUGGAAUAAAUUCCUACAAAUGUAUGUCCAUGCACUUAUUUUCUGCAUAAAUGGCUAAUCCAUCUUAUUACGAUUUCCAAAUUUUUUUUGAAGCAGGAAUUGAAAACGGGAAGAUGACGGUAUCCAUUAUUUGGCGUCUUUAGGCACCUCCAUAUAUGAAUCAAGUGAUGUUGGAUAUGUAUAUAUCUCCAUAUAUGUGUUGGAAGUCCGUUGGAUAUGAUUCUAUUAAUUGAUGUUUGUUAAUAAUCAGUGGAAGAAAUAAUAUUACUAGUAAAUCACCCACUUCAAAAUUUGGUGAGAGAAAUAAUGCAACAAGUAAGUUAUCCAAGACAGUUUCAUCAAGUUCACAUUCUGUUUUAAUAUCUCGUAGUCAUUAUCCUAUAAUGAAAUCUCCAAUAAGCACAUCUCCCUCAUCAAUUCCUUGAGCUGCAAAUUGUUGUUGCCUUAUGAUAAAGUCACAUACAAGCAUUUUGUUGAAAUCAAUCACAGUCAUCUUUUAUCUCACUAUUUUUGUUCUUAUUUUAUAUUAUGGAAAAGAGAGAAAAAGUAAAAUAAAAUGGAACAGGGUUGGGAAAAACUUCCGAACCGAAGCGAACCGAACCUAACAGUUCUUUUCAAGUUAAAUACCCGAAUGGGUAUUUGAAUUGAGAAUCGACGAGUACGGGUCGGUUCUCGGUUCUAGACCAAGAACCGAAGAACCGAAUCUUCCUAAUUUUUUUAUAUUGAAUAAAUCAAAUUAUUUUAAUUUUUUCUAAACAAAUUAACUAAUUAGGUGAUUGAUUGAUAUUUCAUCUCCCAAGCCCUAGCCUAGCUAGCUUAAUCCAACCCAACCAAUUUCUAAAUCCAAUUUUUAGGCCCAAUUCUUUGUUUCAUUUCUAAUUUUUUUAAUUUUUAGCCCAAGUGUGUGAAAUUAACAUACAAGUGUAAAUGAUUAAUGGGAGCCUACUUACAAAAACUUCUAAUACUAUCGAGCAACGAGGAGAAAAAAAAUGUUCUGGGAAGUUCAUUUUCCAAAGCGUUUGAUGAAUAAAUCAAAUAGUUGGUAAGUAUUAGCAAUACUUUAAAAUAAUUUUUAUCUAUAACUUUUAAUUUAUGUUUCUUUUUUCAUGUAGACUUUAAGGUUUGAAGCAAACGAACCAUUGAAUGGAUCGUUGAAGUUUUAGUAUUAGUAUCUACUCCUUUGGUAUUUGUAAGCAUUGGUAAAUUAAUCUUAUUAGACAACUUGUUAUUUACAUGUUAUUAAAUCGGACUACAUUAAUUUGUAAAACUACGAUAGAAUGUGUCAUUAGUUGUAUUUAUGUAGUAUUGUUAUAAAUGUUAAAAAAUUUAAUUAUAGAACGGAACCAAAUUGAACCAAAUCCGAACGAUUCGAACCCAACAGUUCAAUUUACUAAAUACCCAAAAAAAUUUGGUUCGAUUCAGUACGUUUUAAAACCAAACCUAAUCGACCCGCUCCCAGGCCUAAAAAUAACAAUAGAAUAAUAUAGGUAAAAGUCCAAAUUAGUGUUAUGGUAAAUAAAAUUAAACUAAAACUCAAUCCCUUGCCAAGGUGUCCAAAACUUGUUCAUAAAAAUAUAUUUCGAUUUAAAACCUCUGCAAGUGUACGGUUUGUUAACAAGAAAUAAAGUGUAUGUGAAUUCAAGUAUCAUCCCACAGAGAUUCAUUUAGUUCAAUUUUUAUUACCAUGACCUCUAACCGAAACAAAAGUAAUACUGUGUGUUUUUAUGAUGAAAUUGUUAAGUAAAAUAAAUUACAUAUGCAACUAAGAAUGAGUUAACUAAACUAAAUGCAAUUUAUGAUUAAUUAUGCAAAAGUAAUAUUGUGUUCAAAUGAAUAGCAAACGUACUAGGAUCGCGAAUUCUCAUGCAAUAAUCAUUUUUUACUUUAGUUUUACAAUUCAACAACACAGUUUAAUAUUGAAAAAUCAAUGUUCUUAUUAUAUUUAACAAUCUCUUCGAGUAAACUUAAACCCAUUCUCAUAGAUGACCCAAUUAUAUUUCCAUGACAGAUGCAAACAUAUAAGAAUGCAUAAAUUUUUGUGAACACUUAAAAAUUCACAUGGAGUAUAGAGGUAUAUUUGAAUCCACUAUUGGACCCUACGACAAUUUAUACCAUAUGGAGCCUAUUCCCCUUCUUUGAAUACACAAUAAUUGUGGAGAAAAUAAAUUCAUAUAAACAUUCAAAUUCCCAAAAAGUGUUUUAAUGUCAAGAAUAUGAAACUAAAGAUUAAAAGGUCGCAUCACAUGGUUCGUCAUUCUCCUAGUACAUAUAAAUAUAGCCUAGCAUGGUGAAAAUAAGAAAACAAAUAUUGAAGAAAUGACAUCACCUAAUUAAUCCUGAUUUGAAUUUUCGUGUCUUCGAGUCGAUCUUCAUGUUUCUUGCCUUCUCUGUGCUCUAAAACUCUUAGAAAUAGGUUGGAAUGCAUCAUCAUUCCUUAUGGAAGUCCCUAGGUUAAAAGACGUCCAAAAAAAAUAUCCAUAAAAAUUUCAAGUAGAUAAGGAAAUCAGAAUUUUUUUUCACCGCAAUUAAUCUGGACAGUUGCUCAAUCUAAACUUUAAGUCUCAGUAUUUAUUCUUCAUGGUUGGGAGGUCGUCCGGCCUAAUAUAACGGGCAAUUGCCCAAUUAUAUUAACUUUUAACUGUUUCGUUUUAGUCCGCAAACUCCGUUUUCUCCUUUCUUGACCUUUUUUUCUCAUUUCUUCUUCUUCCAAUACUCUAUGUCUAAACUAAAUUGGUCUUUGACUCUUUCACAUCUUCGUUCCUACUUCCGAUCACCUUUCAAUUAUUUUCACUUUGAUCCCUGAACUUUUAUUUUCUUUCAUUUUGGUCUUUUUUUGUUUAUUUCUCCUCAAACCCACCACAUUCAGCGAUGUUGUCCUGGAAAACAUAAAUUAAAUAGAUUUAAGCAUAAUUCAAAUAUGUUUAUCAAUAAUCAUACAUGUUUUGUGGUCAAAAUAAAUGUGUAAAUUGCACUUAUCAGAGCCAUUUCCCGUCCAGGCUGGUUAAAGGUCUAUAUUAAGGUAAACAUGGGCAAAUAUUUAAAACAUGACUUCACCACCAACAAAUGCUAAACAAGUAAGUUAAUAAAUAAAACAUGAUAUUGUAACAGAAUCAGUUACAAGCUAGCCAAUAAGAGGUCACCAUUUGUCAAAUUUCUCUAAAUGACCGAAUUGUCUUGUAGCCUUGAGGGGAUUCUAUGAAUAUUCCUCCCGAAGAGAAGGAAACCAUGCAAAAUUCAAAUAUCUCCCUCCGAAAUAGUCAUUUCUCUUCUUGCUCCGGUUUGAGCAUCAAAACCACUGAGCUUAGGACACAAAAAUCCUGGCUUGGUGAAAGAAAUUUUUUGAUCUGAUUUUAUCGUCAACAUAUAUAUUAAUCAGUGCUCAUCAUAAACAAAUUUACAAAAGACAAAACUUACAACUAGUUUGCGAUUUUUUAGAUUUAAUUUUUGGCGCUUGGGUUGCUUAGGGCACUACCUUGAUGAGGGCCCCCAUAAAAUAUAUUUAUUAUAUAUAUUGUCUCUAUAAAUAAUAAUGAAAAAAUUCCAGAAAAAAGUUUUAUAUUCUUCAAAGCAUAAAAGGUUUUUUUAACACAUUCGUGACUUUUCAUUUUGUUUGUUGUUUUCUUGUUUCUAGGUUGACUCUUGUAUUUUACAUAUUCAUACGAUUGAGUUCUUGGGUUUUCGAAAUGGUGUAAAAAGAAUUGCUUCAAAUCAAUCACUUUCUCUCUAUUUGUGUGACGUUUCUUUUUUUUAUUCAACCUUUCAACUUUUAUUUAAUUAUCUCUGCUUGUUUACUCAUCUUAAAUUCCACCCUCUGUAAAUUCUCUAGCUUAUGCUUGUAGUUAUAUGAUUUUUUUGCUUGAGUUUUUAUGCCUUCUUAUAUAUUUAUUUAAUGCCUUCUUAGUUUUCCAAACUAAUCUCGGAUGGUUACUCAAGGUUUUAUCUUCUUUUCUGCAAUUAAUUAACUAUAAGCAUGCAAAGUUAAUUGGUUGAUUGAAGAAAAAUGAACAGACUAAGAAAUGUACACUCGUAAUAAUAGCUUUCAUCCAAAAAGAAUUAUAAUGUUAAAAAUAAGAUGUUAAUUUUUCUUGAUACAUUUAAUCCAUUGUAUUCUUAUCAAGUUCUUCGUUAUUUCAUUAGUCUAUACUUUUUAUGAAUAAUAUUUUCUUAAUAGAUUCUCAAUAUUAUUAUUUUACAAUUUAUCUAAGUGAAAAUCACUUACCAGGUUCCAUUGUUACUCAAGUAAUUUAAAAUUUGGUCUUGUAUUGAUUUUGGAUUGUUGAUGACUUUAAUCUGUCUACUAGAAAAUAUUUUUAUGGCCAUAAAAAGAUAAAAAAGAAGAGAAAAACUGAAGAGCUUAUUCAAUCUCAAGUAUGAGUUAUGGAUGAGUUUCUUGAUCUAAUUUUGAAGGAACAAAUCCAGCGUAUAAAAGAAAAGGAAAUUCAUUACUCUUAUCUUAGUCAUAAAAUUUGGAUUUGUGGAUUGCUUGAAUAUUUUGAUUGAUAAGAGUUGAAAUGUGUAAAUAAAUCAUAAAAAAAAAAGAUUGAGAGGUUCCAAGGAUAUUGUCUAUGAUAGAGAUUAGUUUGAAUUUAAAUUAAAGUAGCUAUUUUCGUGGGAUUAGUCAUGUGAAUUCUUGUAUAUAACCUGCACAUGUAUUCUGUAUAACUUAAUGAAGUUGAGCAUAUUUCUCCUUCAAUUACUUCAGAUUUUUUCUGUAAUAACCAGAUUUUUUCAUGGUAUCAGAGCAUUGCCUAGGAAUUUUCUCUGAUUAGAAGCAACUAGUAUUCACUCUUUGUUCACACAUCAUGAGCAUAGAUAAAUCAACAACCUCGAACUCCAUUGGAGACACCUCCACUGGAAACACCUCAGACCCACCUCAUUUGUACACCUCUGAUCACCCAGGUGUAAGUCUUGUUUCCAAAACAUCGAAUGGUGACAACUAUGCUACCUGGAGUAGGUCAAUGAGCAUUGCUCUCAGUGCCAAAAACAAAACGGGAUUCAUAGAUGGCUCCAUCAAAAAGCCCUUUACAGAUGAUGAAAAAUACGCACCUUGGAAGAGAUGCAAUGAAAUGGUGUUAUCAUGGAUCCUAAAUUCUAUUGAUCCAUCAUUGUCAGACAGUGUUAUCUACACAGAGUUGGCUUCGAGUGUUUGGGAAGAUCUAAAAGAUUGUUUCUCUCAAAACCAUGCUUCAAGAAUCUCUCAGGUGAAAAGGAAGAUUGUUUCUUUACACCAAGAAACUAUGUCUGUCACAGCCUACUACUCCAAGAUUAAGGGCUUAUGGGACGAGCUCUCAUUCCAUAAUGAUAUCCCUGUAUGUACCUGUUCUGCAAGCUCAAAGCUUGCCCAACAAUAUCAACUAAAUAAAGUAAUGUAGUUCUUAAUGGGAUUAAAUGAUACUUAUUCAGCAAUUCGUGGUCAACUAUUGUUGAUGCAACCAUUACCCUCUAUUGGAAAGAUUUAUGUAAUGGUUUUGCAAGAAGAAAAACAAAGAGAUAUCACUAUUUCGAGGGAAGCAAUGUUGGCAAGUGUAAGAAAAUCAGGGAGCUAUACGUAGCAGAAAGGAAGGUCAAAACAUCAUUGUUCACACUGCAAUGGUACUAAUCACACAGUAGACAAGUGCUAUCAUUUACAUGGAUUCUCUACUAGCCACAGGCACAACAAAUGGUCAGAGAAUGGAGAAGUAAAGAAGUUACAACCAAUCGUGAAUAAUGUUCAUACAGAAGUGCUCUUCUUCACGCAAGAGCAGUAUCAACAGCUAUUGAACUUGCUCAAUAACAAAGGUAAAAGUGGUAUGGAUUAGCCUCAAGCAAAUGCGACAAGUCAGUUUGUCCCAUCUUGCUUGAUUACUAGCUCUCAAAAAAUUAGCUGAAACAAUGGAUCAUAGAUGCAGGUGCUACCGAUCACAUUGCAGCCACCACUUCCAUGUUUAAAACCAUGUCGAAACCAAAGUACCCAUAUGUUAGAUUGCCAAAUGGUCAAAAGGCCCAAGUUACAAAAUUUGGAACAAUAAUAAUUGACUCCAAAUUCAAAAUUUCAGAUGUCUUACUUGUUCCAAGCUUUCAUGUAAAUCUUUUAUCUGUAAGUAAGAUGACAAAGGACUUGAAUUGUUCUCUUACCUUUUUCCCAAAUUUCUAUAUUUUGCAACAAUUGGAAAUGAAGAAGAUGAUUGGUUUCGGAAGGCAGCAUAAUGGUCUAUAUUACCUCACACCAAAACCACAAAUAAACCAAGCCAGUCCGACACGUCUUCCAAACAGCCUUUGGCAUCAAAGACUUGGACACCCAUCAUCAUCACCCUAGAAACAUCUCAUGGAAUCUUGUUCAGGAGUUUCUUUUGCUUCCAAUAAAGUUUGUGCUAUCUGCCAUCUUGCAAAACAAACCAGACUUUCUUUUGGCUUAAGUUCAAUAAAAACACAAUCUUGCUUUGAAUUAAUUCAUUGUGAUAUAUGGGGUGCUUUUAGAGUACCAUCACUUACUGGUGCUUACUAUUUCCCGACAAUUGUUGAUGAUUAUUCAAGAUACACAUAGGUAUAUCUUAUGUGUUUCAAGUCAAAGACUCAAGGUAUACUGAAAUCAUUCUUUUCUUUAGUUCAUAUCCAGUUUAAUGUACAAGUUAAAAGAAUUCAGUCAGAUAGUGGAAAAGAAUUCAGUUCAAUGAUUCCUUUCUUUUGUGAAAAAGGAGUUUUAUUUGAACAUAGUUGCACCAUAACUCCACAACAAAAUGGAGUGGCCGAACGCAAACAUAGGUACAUUUUAAACAUUGCUAGAGCUCUAAGAUUUCAAGCAAACUUAUCUUCACAUUUUUGGGAUGAAUGUGUCCUUACAGCAAUGUAUCUUCUCAAUAGAACACCUACACUUCUUCUUGCCAAAAAGACACCCUAUGAGCUUCUCUACAAAUAUACUGCUAACUACACUCACUUAAAAGUCUUUGGAUGCCUCUAUGAAGCCACUAAUGUCAAUCCUACACUUAAAUCUGAUCCUAGAGCUAAAAAGUGUCUUUUUUUGGGUUAUCCCCUAGAUCAAAAAGCAUACAAGGUGAUGGAUUUAGAAAAUAAGAAAGUGUUCACAAGUCGAGAUGUCAUUUUUCAUUAAACGCAUUUCCUUAUGGUCCUACUACACCUACCACUAAAACCACUAUACCAGUUUUGCCAAUUCCAGCAACAGAUAUGUCAGAUAACUAUUCAUCGACGGGAUCAUCUUCACUGCCUACAACAUGUGCUGAUACACAAGAACCUCUCAUCAACCCCACUUCACUCGAGACCCACCAUCACCAAUCCAGCAAGCUAUACCUAGACGGUCAACAAGAAUUCGCCAACCCUCUAUAUGGCUUAAAGACUUCCAAUACCCUCAUGCCAUUAUGCUACAGCCUCGUUCUAAUUCAUCUCCCUCGACACCAGGUUACAAGCAAGGUACGUGAUAUCCUCUUGCCAAUUAUCUUUCAUAUGAUAAAUUGUCCUCUUCGCACCUUCAAUUGGUUUCCUCCAUUUCUAAAACAUUGGAACCAAGUACAUAUGAACAAGUUGCGAGUGAUCCAAAUUGGGAAGAAGCAAUGAAGUAAGAAAUUCAAGCACUGGAAAGCAACAAUACCUGGAUAUAUGCACAUUUACCAGUUGGGAAAAAAGGCUAUUGGAUGUAAGUGGGUGUACAAAAUAAAAUACAAUUUUUAUGGGAGCAUUGAGAAGUACAAAACGCAUUUAAAGCAUUGAAAAGUACAAAAUGCAUUUAGUAGCAAAAGGAUACACACAAGUUGAAGGUCUUGACUACAAUGAAACUUUUGCUUCAGUUGCCAAACUUGUCACAGUAUGUUGUCUACUUGCUAUUGCUGCUGUGAAAACAAUGGUCACUUCAUCAGCUUGAUGUCCAAAAUGCAUUUUUGCAUGGGACCUUUUUGAAGAAGUUUAUAUGAGGCCACCGCCUGGCUUUAGUCGAUAGGGAAGAACAAACAACUAUGUUGUCGACUAAAUAAGUCUCUAUAUGGCUUAAAACAACUUUCCAGAAAUUGGAAUGCAAAAUUUUCAAGUGCAAUUUGUAAGGCAGGAUUCAAACAGUCGAAGGCAGAUUAUUCUCUAUUCACUAAGUCCGAAGGCCAGUCAUUUGUUGAUGUUUUAAUUUAUGUAGAUGACAUGAUAAUAACUGGAAACAACAGUGAAGCAAUCGAAGCACUAAAACAGUUUCUCAACCAACAAUUCAAGAUCAAAGAUUUGGUGAGUUGAAGUAUUUUUUGGGCAUCGAAGUGGUAAAAUCAAGUUUAGGAAUAUGUACUUCACAGAGAAAAUAUACACUAGACCUUCUUGAUGAAGUAGGGAUGUUAGCAGCUGCAUUAGUUGCUACUCCAAUAGAGCAAAAUCUAAAAUUAAGACCUUCACAGGGGGAGCCACUCCCUCACAAUAUCUAGACCUCAUAUUCAAUACUCAAUUCCCUUAUUGAGUCAGUUCAUGGUUCAACCUAGAAAACCACGUUAUGAAGCAACAAUGAAAGUGCUCGGAUAUUUGAAAGGUUCACUUGGACAAGGAUUACUAUUUCCAUUGGAAAGUGACUUUAAAUUGACUGAGUAUUGUGAUGCUGACUGAGGUGGAUGUCCAACUACAAGAAGAUUAGUGAUAGGAUAUUGCAUUUACAUUGGUAGCUCACUUAUUUCUUGGAGAACAAAGAAACAAACAACCGUUUCAAGAUCUUUUCCUAAAGUAGACUAUCGAGCCAUGGCAGCAGUAACAUGUGAACUAACUUGGCUUAGAUAUCCAUUCAAAGAUCUCGGGACAUUGAUCAAAGCACCAACAACUUGCAUUGUGACAACAAGGCAACUUUACAAAUAGCUACAAAUCCGAUUUUCAACGAGAGAACUAAACACAUUGAGAUAGAUUGUCAUCUGAUUCGAGACAAGAUCAAACAUGGUCAAUUAACUACAAAAUUUACUGCAUCUCAGACACCGAUUGCUGACAUAUUUACUAAAGCUCUUAGAAAGGGUCCCUUUUCUUCACACAUGAGCAAGUUGGGGACAAUCAAUAUUCAUGCUUCAACUUAAGAGGGAAUGUUGAAAUGUGUAAAUAAAUCAUAACAGAAAGAUUGAGAGGUUCCAAGGAUAUUGGCUAUAACAGAGAUUAGUUUGAAUUUAAAUUAAAGUAGCUAUUUUCGUGGGAUUAGUUAUGUUAAUUCUUGUAUAUAACCUACACAUGUAUUCUGUAUAACUUAAUGAAGUUGAGCAUAUUUCUCCUUCAAUUACUUCAGAUUUUUUUUAAUAAGAAAUAUUAUUUUUUGUUACUGUUUAUAUAUUUGUAAAUAUUUAUAGGGCCAACAUUUAAAGUUGAUCUAAAGCCUCAAAAUCUCAAGGUCGACUCUAUAAGAAGCUAAGAAAUCCUGUUGACUAUUAGAAUCCAAAUUACUAUUAAUAGUCAUAUUUUGCACUUCAUAUAAUUGGUUUCAAAUUGAUUCUUGAACGUAGAUGAAAAGAAAAUGAUUGCCGAUAAACUCAAUGAGCUCUUUGGGUGGGUACGGGUGGGAUGAUGUGCGAGGGGAAUGUGGUGGAGGAUGAUGGGUUGCAGAUAUUUCUUUCUUUUUUAUUAUUUUAAUUGGGUUUAAAAAUGUAAACUUACCAUUUUAUCCUUCACUUAAUUGGUAGGAUUGAAUCAACGUUUUAAUUUUUUUUGGUCAAUUUACGAAUUAAUGACGAAAUCGGCCUAUUGUCCUCCAGUUGCAAUUGAAAUGAAAGGUUUAGAACUGUGGUUACAAAAAUUAAAAGUUUGUACAUAGUCUGUAACUAAUUGAAAGGUUUUGGACUCCAAUUGCAAUUUUUCCUAAUUUAUGUUAUUAAUUUCCAAUCAUGUUUCUAUGAUUUCUCAUAUAUAUAAUUGAAUGUUUCAACUUUUAUUUUUCAGCAAAUCAUUGGAAUUAAUUCUAUCUUUACUUUACUUCAAUCUCAAAAGCUUGCAUUCAUGCAUCUUACUACUAGUUACAUUAGUGGCGUAGAUUAUAGAACUAUGUACCAAGCCUCCACUUGGGAAGAAUUUAUGAACGGUUUAAUUUAUUAAAAAGGUAGAAAUGAUUGGUAAAUAAGUUUAUAGUACUUAUAUGUUCAUUUAAAUAUAUAAUUAAAAAUGAAAUUUUUUUAUAGAAUAGAGAGAAAGAAAAAUCAAUAGACUUGUGUAUAUUUUAUUGAGAACAUAGCUCAUAUGUAUAUGGAAGAAUUAGGAAUGCAAUAAUAAUAAUAAUUAGGAUUGUAAGAGUAUAAUUGUCUUUCACUAAUAAUCAUACUACUUACAACACUCUCAUUGAAUGAUACAUUACAAAAUAUUUGCCUCAUUAAAAGUUUAUUUGAUAAAAAUCCAAUGGAACAAAAAUAUAAAAUGAAGGAAAAAGAGUAUAAUUAUUUUGGAAUAUUAAAAAUAUUUGUUUUCUCAUUAAAAUCUUGCAAUAAAAACCCAGUGGAAUAAAACCUUAGCGAAGGAACAAGAGUACUACUCUCUCUGAUGUUGAUCAAUGAAAAUCUUUGAGUCGACGUAUCCAAAUGUUGUUAACCAAUUUCUUGAAUGUAGAUGUCGACAGUGCUUUUGUGAAUAAAUCUGUCAUAUUAUCAUUUGAGCAAAUUUAUUGAACAUCAAUAGCACCAUUCUUCUAAAACUCGUGUGUUUGAAAGAAUUUUAAAUAAAUAUGUUUUGCCAUAUCUCCUUUGAAAUAGCCUCCUUCAACUUGUGCAAUACAAAUUACACUAUCUUGUAAAAUUUGUUGGACUAUCUUUUGUAGAAGUUAAUCCACAUGAAACUUGGAUAUAAUGGAUUAUGUUCCUCAAUCAUAUACAUUCUUGACCUUCUUUGUGAAUUGAAAUAAUUUCAAAAUGAUCUAAAGAUGUUGCUGCCAAUGUUUGAUUCACGGAUAUCCAUAAUAUAUCUUUUGUUCCACGCGUAAACACAUAUUCUAUUUGUGAUUUAGUUUUAUAUAUAUUAAAGAGAUAACCUACAUCUACAUAUCAUACUAAAGCAGAUCUCAAAUUUUAAGAAAAAAAUUAAUACCAAAUGAAUAAUAAGAUAUGGAUCUCUUUUUAAUGAAGUGAUCAAUAAACCAUAGAUGAUGUCAUUAAUGGAUGUGUUUUAUCCAUAUAAAAAUAUUUUAGAACUUUCUACAUACGAAGAUUAGUGAACAAAUAAUCCUACUAUAAAUGUUCAAUAUUCAACCUAAGAUAAAAAUUUAUUUUUUCCAAAUCUUUCAUCUUAAAUUCAUUUUUCAAAUAAUCAUUAGUUUUGUUUAGCUUUUCAGGAGUUCCAACUAGAUUAAAUCAUCAACAUAAAUUGUCACAAUUGUAAAUCCAAUAUUUAUUUUUUUAUAAAAACAUAUGGGCUGACAUCGUCAUUUUUAUAACCUAACUUCAACAAAUAUAUGCUAAGACAAUUCUACCAUAUGCUUCCGGAUUGUUUCAACCCAUAUAAUGAUAUUUACAUUUAAAUUGAAAACAUAAUUCUUGUGUAUAUAUCAUUUGUUCCUAGCACUUUAAAUCCUUCGGAGACUUUCAUAUAUGUGUCACUAUCAAGUGAACCAUAUAGAUAAACAGUUACUAUAUUCAUAAGGUGUUGUCGGGCAUUUCUAACACGGUCAAACUAAUUAAGAAUCCAAAAGUAAUAGGCGCCAUUGUGGGAGAAUAUGUUUCUUAAUGAUCAAUUUUAGGUCUUUGUGAGAAAUCUUCAGGUACAGGUCAGGCUUUGUAUCUUGUAAUUUCAUUAUUUUUAUUUCUCUUCCCUACAAAAAUCCACUUGUAUGCUGCACAAAUUACAUUAUCAGGUAUUCGAGUCACAAGUACAAACAUUUUUCAUUUCUUUAAUGAAUUCGGUUACACAUGUAUGGCUUCUUUUCAUUUUGGCCAAUCAUUUAUAUGUUGACAGUUUUUCAUGUAGUUCAAGAUCCUCAUUUUCCAUAAUUUCAAGAGGCAUGUUAAAGGAAAAAUAUUAUAUAUAAAAAUUGAAUAUUCAAUCCCUAUUGACAUAUAGUAAUCAUUGAAUGCUUGUGAAUUAUAUCAAGAUUAAUUGUCUUGAUUGAGUGAUCGAGAAACUAAACUUGUAAUUUUAUGAUUUGAGCAAGUAGUCUAGCAAAAACUACAUUUCUAGUGGAAAGUAGACAGGCUUGGACCAUCUAGUAGAAGAAUUAAUUAAUACCAUAAAAUAACGAAAUGAUCCAUAUGACAAAUAUAUCAGCUAACAUAUAUCUCCAUGAAUUCUUUUCAAAAAGUUGUAGAUUCAAUAUUGACCUUUGUAGUGGAAGAUCUAAUAACUAACUUACCUUAUGAACAAGCAACAUAUGGAUAAUUAUUAGGUAAAAGAAUCUUCUGAUUUUUUAGUGGAUGUUCAUGUGAAUUGUUAAUUAUUUGGCACAUCAUUAUAUUUUCUGGAUGUUCAAGUUGGUCAUGCCAAAAUAGAAAACUUUUUUGUGUCAGUGAAUUACAGAAUUGCGAUAAUAUUUGAUUCGGCUAUUUUUAUAAAUAUAUAAUACAUACCAGAUAGGAAUGCAUGAAAUUUUUCUAUUAUCUGUUUAUAGUCAAAUACAAAAGAAGUUAUUCAAAUAUAUAUAAUAUUAUGUUCUUACACCUUCUCAAUGUGAUCCACUGCAGUAAAUAUCUUUUCAAAAUUAUACAAAUUCUUCCUGAAUUUUCAUCAUAUUCGAUGCCCCUGAUAUCAUAUUACUAUUAUAUUCUACUAAUGUUAAAUUCAAAAAAUACUUUUUUAUAUUGAAAUAUAGUAUGCAUGGUUGCUCUAUCAUCUAAACAAAUGUCUUAGCAAUUCAUCCUUUUGAGAAAUAUUGCUGAUAACGUGUUAUAAAAUAGAGAGAAACUAGAUAAGUCAAUAGAGUUGUGUAUAUUUUAUUGACAACGAGGGUCCCAUAUUUAUAUGAAAAAAAUUAGGAAUACAAUGGUAAUAAUAACUAAGGCUGUUUAGGUAUAAUUGCCAUGUAUUAAUAACUAUAUUAUUUAUAACAAAUUUGAAAUUAUGACUAAUUUAUAGAUUAUGCAAAUGAAGAACAAAUAAUUGAUAAAAUUAGUUAAGUGAUGUUCGACUCAUAAAAUUGCAAGUUUGUAGAUUUUGUUGUUCAUAGUCUACCAUAAAUUUUAAGAAUAAUUGCAGCAAUGAUCCAUAAACUUUUCUAUUUUUACAGACUUUACCUUAACAUUCAUUUUGUAUCAACGAAAGUUCCUAACCCUUCAUAAAUAUGUAGUUGGGGUCCAUCUGAAUAGAAUCAUCCAAAACACCAUCAGUUAACCUAAAAAAUUAAAAAUAGGGUAUUUAGACCAUUUUAAAAAAGGGCAAUUUCAUUCAUAUAGUAUUUUCACUAUUGUACAUUUCCCUCAAAAUAAUUAAAAUAAAAAUAAAGGAACAUGAAUUGUUCACCUUCUACAACCCACUCUCAACAACCCAACCCACCAUACCAAAACCAAAUCUAACCUAACCCCCGCUUCCACCUUCUUGUGUACAACCACCCGUCACCACCAAAGCCAAAACCAAAUCCAACCCAACUCACUGUCCAAAACCAAAACCAAAUCCAUCCUCUGCAAAUAUGCUCCUUUUCUGGAUUAAUCAUGCUCCAUUGAUUUUAGAUGUAAAGGAGAAAGAAUAGUAGAAUAUGAAUAUCACAGAUAUACUUGUUAAAUCUCUAUUGAAGAAAUUUGUUACUCUAGUGUCAAUCAUUUUGUCUUUUUGGGAUAAAUUUUCUAGAAAAUAAAAAUUGUUUUGUUCUUAUUUUUAUUGAGAUUUGUUUGGGAAAAUUGGGUUCAUAAAGGUCUUCUUCAUUUGGACUGUAGCUAAUGAAAUGAGAGAUAAACGAAGAGGAAAAAUAAGUAAUAUUGGGGUUUGAGAGAAAAGAUUGCAUGAUUGAGUGACAUCAUGUAAGUAGCUUCAACACUGCAAAGAGGAGGUGGGGGUGGAAAUGGGGAUGGAUGUGUUGAAAAGAUGAUGUAUUUGGGCUAGGCGGUGGGGAAAAGGGAUGGGUUAGUUUUUUUUUUUUUUUUCCUUGUUGAGUUUUAAUUACUUUAAUUAUCAAUAUAUGAUUGAUGAAAAUAUCCUUAAUUAAAAUGGUCAAAAUACCUCAUUUUUAAUUUUACAAGUCAUCUAACUGUGUUUUAGACGAUUUUUGUCUAGUUGGAUCUCGGUUACAUAUUUAUGAAAAGUUGGGACCUUCACUAACACAAAAAGAAGGUUAAGAUAAAGUUUGCAAAAAUUGAAAAGGUUAUUGCAAUUAUCUCUAAAUUUUAUACCAGUAUGUAAUGUAAUCACAAAACCAAAUAUUUUGUUGACGUUAGAUAAUCUUUUUGGAGUCCAAAAUGGAAGAUCUCAUGAAAUACGGUUGAAUCUUGAAUUGCAUGAUGUAAGCGAUUAAUCGUUUUUGUGCUUAUUAAAAGAUGAUUAAUUUUACUAAGCACUAGAAGUAUUUCUGAAAUUAUAAAAUUGUGCAGCAAAAUUGAAAUAAGGAUGGCAAUGGAUCAGGCCCACACCCAUUUGGCAUUUUCCCGCCCCGUUACCUAUUUAAGGUAGAGCAAGUUGGCGGGAGGGGUUGGGCCCUGUUGGGAAUCUACUUAUACAUGCACAGCGGAAUUUAAAAUAUAUUUCGAUUCCCAUCCAAUAGAUCUCAUUGUGUUUGGUUAGGAAUUGUGAUAGGAUUGUACCUUUUCCAGAUCUGCAAUCCUUUUGCUUUUCUUUUCGUUCCACAACUUUGAUUCGCCACCACAGCUGUCCAAUUGUCCAGCCUCCAACGGUGAUCCACACAGAGAAAAUGAUUGCAGCCUCUAGGGUUUUCUCUUGUGCUAGCAAGAAUAAUGAAAACCUUAAUGGACCUCAAACCCUAGUUAUGUAUUUAUAUAAACCCAAACAGGCUCGGCCCGGUCCGGUCCAAUAAUUAAUUAAUCCAAUUAAUUAAAUCCGGUCCGUGAAUUAAUUAAUCUAAUUAAUUAAUUCGAAAAUAUAAAUAACAAAUCCAAUUAAUUAAUUUAUCCAACGAUUGUUAAAUUAACUAAUUGGCAAUUUGCAAUCUUCCAAUUCUCUUUUGUGUGUGACCCAUUAGGUUCUCGACCACGAUGCCUAACGACGUGAAAUAUUAUUUUGAUCUAAUCAAAAUUGAUAAAUUAAAACACCCNNNNNNNNNNNNNNNNNNNNNNNNNNNNNNNNNNNNNNNNNNNNNNNNNNNNNNNNNNNNNNNNNNNNNNNNNNNNNNNNNNNNNNNNNNNNNNNNNNNNNNNNNNNNNNNNNNNNNNNNNNNNNNNNNNNNNNNNNNNNNNNNNNNNNNNNNNNNNNNNNNNNNNNNNNNNNNNNNNNNNNNNNNNNNNNNNNNNNNNNNNNNNNNNNNNNNNNNNNNNNNNNNNNNNNNNNNNNNNNNNNNNNNNNNNNNNNNNNNNNNNNNNNNNNNNNNNNNNNNNNNNNNNNNNNNNNNNNNNNNNNNNNNNNNNNNNNNNNNNNNNNNNNNNNNNNNNNNNNNNNNNNNNNNNNNNNNNNNNNNNNNNNNNNNNNNNNNNNNNNNNNNNNNNNNNNNNNNNNNNNNNNNNNNNNNNNNNNNNNNNNNNNNNNNNNNNNNNNNNNNNNNNNNNNNNNNNNNNNNNNNNNNNNNNNNNNNNNNNNNNNNNNNNNNNNNNNNNNNNNNNNNNNNNNNNNNNNNNNNNNNNNNNNNNNNNNNNNNNNNNNNNNNNNNNNNNNNNNNNNNNNNNNNNNNNNNNNNNNNNNNNNNNNNNNNNNNNNNNNNNNNNNNNNNNNNNNNNNNNNNNNNNNNNNNNNNNNNNNNNNNNNNNNNNNNNNNNNNNNNNNNNNNNNNNNNNNNNNNNNNNNNNNNNNNNNNNNNNNNNNNNNNNNNNNNNNNNNNNNNNNNNNNNNNNNNNNNNNNNNNNNNNNNNNNNNNNNNNNNNNNNNNNNNNNNNNNNNNNNNNNNNNNNNNNNNNNNNNNNNNNNNNNNNNNNNNNNNNNNNNNNNNNNNNNNNNNNNNNNNNNNNNNNNNNNNNNNNNNNNNNNNNNNNNNNNNNNNNNNNNNNNNNNNNNNNNNNNNNNNNNNNNNNNNNNNNNNNNNNNNNNNNNNNNNNNNNNNNNNNNNNNNNNNNNNNNNNNNNNNNNNNNNNNNNNNNNNNNNNNNNNNNNNNNNNNNNNNNNNNNNNNNNNNNNNNNNNNNNNNNNNNNNNNNNNNNNNNNNNNNNNNNNNNNNNNNNNNNNNNNNNNNNNNNNNNNNNNNNNNNNNNNNNNNNNNNNNNNNNNNNNNNNNNNNNNNNNNNNNNNNNNNNNNNNNNNNNNNNNNNNNNNNNNNNNNNNNNNNNNNNNNNNNNNNNNNNNNNNNNNNNNNNNNNNNNNNNNNNNNNNNNNNNNNNNNNNNNNNNNNNNNNNNNNNNNNNNNNNNNNNNNNNNNNNNNNNNNNNNNNNNNNNNNNNNNNNNNNNNNNNNNNNNNNNNNNNNNNNNNNNNNNNNNNNNNNNNNNNNNNNNNNNNNNNNNNNNNNNNNACCCAUUUUCAUUUCCACAAAAUGAGGACCAAGUGGGAUAGACUUCAUUCCACUUUAACAAUUGGGUCAAGGCCCCCAAUUAAUGUAUUAUUUCUCUCAAGGGCUCAUUUCUUCCAAAUACUGUAAUUUAGUUCUUGAUAAAAAUUAAUUUGUGCAAUCCAUGUCCUCUUUAAUUCAAUUUAAGCCCUUCAAUUUUUAAAGAGUGAAAUUUGCUCCCCAAAGCAGCAAAUUUUAUUCAAUUUCAUAUUUCUUUAUCUAUAUUUGCUCUGAUCUCGAGUUUUCUCCUAACAUAAUCCAAAAAUAUAAAUAAUUAAGCAUCAAAUUCACAAUAAUACUAACAAAUGCCCAUUUGGUGGCUUAGAUAAGUGUAAAUUUUACACUUAUUAGGAGUAUAUAAAUUAAUUCUAUAAAAUGAAAAAAUGGGUAUACUAGUUAGUUGACACUGAAGUACAUAUAUUAUAUUUAUAAAAAUGGGUAUAGUAAUUAGUUGACACUAAAGUACAUAUAUUAGCACACACAUAAAAGGAAAUCAAUAAAAUUAACUUCGUAUUUAUCAUUGUGUUAAACACACUUUACGGAAUGUGGAAUGUCUGUAUAACAAAUUUUUCCAGAAAAUGUGAAUUUUUUUCAUGAAUAAGUUAUGAAACAAGAAAGGAUUAAAAUAAUUGGAGAAGGGAUACAAGUUUUGGCAAAGAAAAAUUAUUCAAAUUAAAAGGCACGGCUAUUUCCAAAAGAAGUUAAAAGAUAUUACGGCUAUUUGCAAAAGAAGUUAAAAGAUAAUAUCUUUUAACUCAACCAACUUAUGAAAUUCAAAUUUUGUUUUAAUUUCUUCGUUCUAUAUCAUUUCAAGAGCAAUGAUAUAAUUUCUUCAUUCAUACUCCAACAUAUUUAACUUCAUCAUUAUUCAAUAUAUGCUAGUGCACAUUACAUAAUUAAGACAGCAAAUAUUAUACAACAUUACACACAAACCACUACUAAAUUUAUAUAUUUAUUGGCAUCAUAUUCAUCCACGAAGUUGUAUAUAUAACGCGUAAAUGCUACACUCUGUCGAACUGGAUUCAGCUGGGAGGCUUAAUUUAAGGUAGUGCAUCCCUCAUUCCACCAGUAUUUUCGCUGCCUCCUCCACCUCCGGACGAACCUUCUUUUGUAUAGCCUGGAGGAUAACCUCCACCUCCAGGAUA